rnacentral:lncRNA from 1 species
UUUAAUAGCUUUUUUAGUCAUUUUGACAACCUAGUAUUCUAAAUUUGUAUGCUAAUGCUCUGCUCAUCUAGACAUCUACAACGGUGUCCUGUCAUGCAAUUAAAACGAAAAGUUGUAAAGCUUAUAUUUUUAUUGUCUUUAUAGAAUGUCAACAAGUUAGAUGCAAUUAAAUGUUAUACUAUAAUAAUACAAGUUGCAGGCUUGGUUGAGACAAUCUUUUUUUUUUUUUUGAAACAAGGUUCAGACAAUCUAACUCAUCAUUGUCACGUCCAUUUUUUGUUUUUGUAAUUACUUAGACAUGAUACCGUGUGGGGGCAUAUAAAGAAACAAAUACAAAUCAACAUUACUUCUAAAUGUCUUUAUGAACGACAGUAGUUUGGUAACUUGAUAGGGUUUCUCUAAUUCUUAUUUACUUGAUGUACGUAAAAUAAAAUUAGAGUGUUUUCUCUUUUCUCUAAUUCUUAUUCCUUUUGCUUCAAGCCCCCCUUCUCACCCGCUUCCGAUAUGUGGCCGUUCCUGGAGCUCGCUUGUCCACCGGCGGAGGAACCUAGGCUGAUUCCGGUGGUCCUUUCGGUCCUCUGGUGACGCUGCGAGGUGGUUAUGGUGACGGUGGGGGUGUGGAGUCGGAUUUUGGGUAGGGUUUCGUCUGAUCUCAUGUUUUCUCUUUUUGAGAUCUACGGCGAACCCCUUCGAUUGGUGGCGCGUGGCUUCGUUUGGGGGCUCCUCCGGCCCGGAUCUACUCGUUUACCGGUGAUUAAUGUCUUCGUUGUCCCAAUGGAGUGGCUUGUGUGCGCGUGUUUCUCCAGCGCUCGAGGCGUCUCGAGGUUUGGGGUUCUCGCAGCCCAUUGUGCAGUUAGUACGGCGAGGUUCCUCCUCUUCGGCGCGUCUGAGGUAUCUCUGGGUUCGUCGUGUGUCGGCUCCGGCAGUGUCUCGUUGGCGUGUGCGUCUGCGGCUUUGGUUCGUUUCAGAGUCGUCUAUGGCUUUGUCUCUGCCCGUGUUCAUGGUGCUUCUUUCUUGACCCCCUCAGGCCUCGGCUCUUCCCCCUUCGGCUUCUCCUGUGUUCGUCUCGGCUGCGCUUAAUUGUUCUUGCUUCUGUUCCGGUUAGCUAGCUGGUCAGUGUCCUGGUUCUCAGGAUCUGUCCAUGUCUGAGUCGCUCUUCCUCUCCGAGGGGUCUUCGGUUUAGGUGGUGUCUCAGGUUUUCUUGGUUUGAACUCAUCAUCCCAGCACUGGAGUUAGUCGCUUGCGUUCUGUCUUCGAGUGUAUGGGUUCUUCCGGCUGGUGUUGAUGUUCUGGUGUGCCUUUGUGGAGAUGUUGCUGUCCUCAACCCGUUUUGUAAAGGUCUUUGGCGCAUAGCUACUUUGUGGCUGUCCGUCGGAAUAAGGCUCGGUCUUGUUAUGUAGGUGUGCUAGGCCUCUGGCUUGACUGGUGUCGUGUUGGCGGAUGUUCAGGAAGUCUAUCUCGAGCUGUUUUUGGUCGAGCCAAAUCAUAAAGAGCAGUUCAUCGGGGAAGCCAAAAUUACCGGGUUCUGUCUCUCGUUUUAACUGUGGUUUAACCUCUUGCGGCAAGUGGUAAGUAUAGAAUGGUUGAAGCCGCUUGAUUUCGGUUUGGUUGGUUGUGUCUGUCCCUGCUAGACUAGAUCGAGUUGUUGUUUAGAUUUUGUUUAUUUUUCUGUUUCUUGUUGCCUCUGUACUUCUGUCAAAAAUUUGAAAAUUGGUAAUAAUAUCUUUACAUUUUACCAAAAAAAAAAAAAAUUAGAGUGUUUUUAUUUGAUUUGGUUAAUUGGUUUUAAUUAACUUUAGUGGUUUUAUUAAAGAAAGUGUAGUCAAAGAUUACGAUUCAGCGAUUUUUUUUUCCCAAAAGACUUGACAUUGACUAAUCGGUUUACCACGGCCACGUUUCUUUCUAACAAACAAUAAACGAAUUUUUUUUUUCAAUUCACUUAAUAUUUAUUAAAAUAUUUAUAGUCUCGAAAAGAUAAUAUUUACUUCAUAUCCAAAAUAAGAGAUACGAUUCUGUAUAGAUACGAUUUACUGAAUCUGUAUCCAUAUGAUGAUAGGAAUAUGACUUAUCGGUCCCAUAUUUUGAGCAAGAGGCUAUGGACAUAGCCAACUCGUGUACAGGAAAACAAUUAUAACGCAUAACGUUAAAACCAAUGAUUUCUUUUGAAAUUAUUGAACUCUGCGGUGAGAAAUUCCAAAUUAAUUGGGAGGCUCGAAUAUAAUGUCCUCUCAGUUAUGAUACUGGUACGAUGGUCGAUAUAACAUUAUAACAUAUCAAUCUCAAUUAUUGUUUGUGACAUUAAAUUCUCUCUAGCCAUAAUGCUCUUCGUCGACAUUCAUAUUUAAACUCGAAGAAGAGAGUACUUUUGUCAUAUAUUACAUCUAUGAUAUAUGUAAGCAUCUGUCGACAUGUGCAUAUACGCAUAUUCUGCAGAAUGUGAAUUUUCAUAUCUAUUACGUAUAUCAAAUUGGAUCGGUUGACAGUAUAAAUAUAUAUAUAGAGAUAGGAGUUUAACAGUCAUUAAAACAUAAAUAAUAAGAACUGCUAAAAAAUAAAUUGUAAGAACUACCGGUUCUGUGGUUCCAAGCUGGGCAUGUAGAGCAUCAAUCUUAAUUUUGCAGAUCAAUCGGUGACAACUUAUCAUACGGAAGAAUUGUUAAAGGGUGAGAUCUUGGAUUCGAGGAAUGUCAUGCGCACCAACAACUAAAUUAAAGAGUCAACGAGGGUUCAUAAGUGAGGGAUUGGGGUUUAUGCUCUGCAGGGUCAGCCUUGAGCCUACGAAGCACGUUGUUACAAUAAAAGUUGAUUUUUAUGUGACAACUCGUCCCGCGGACCCAGUCUUACAGCCCUGCAAGACACCAACCUUAACCCUUCACAUGUGAACCUUCAGUACUGACUCCCCCAUGUAGGUUAUUGGUGCGUUUGGCGUUCUUCGAACCCAAUACCUCACCCUUUAACCACAUUCCAACAGUAUAAAUUGUCACCAAUUGAUCAAAGGACACCGACCCUAACCCCUCACAUGUGAACAUGGGUCUGCGGGACGGAUUGUCAUACAAAUUUUAUACUCGAGUAGUUUCGUCAUGUUGAACGGUAACAAGAACUGAACGAUGCAAGGAGACUUAGUAAGAGACCAUUUUAUAUGGCACUGGAAAAAACUUUUUAUACGUACCCAUGUGUCUAAAGUUCUGUUGCAACCUUUGCUCGUAUAUAUAUAUAUAUAUAUCAGUAUCGGCAGGCUCGUCUUAUUUUAUCAUGGUUUAGUAUUAAUGGAACUUUUUUUGUUGGAAUUUUCAAUGUUAAUUGAACAUUUGCGAAAACUUUAUUUCCUUAACCAAAAAAAUACAGUUGUCCACUGUAUGGUACAAAUCUUGAAGAUGAGAAAAAGACCCAAGCUAGUAAAAUCGAUGGGUCAAAUUUUCAUACUCUCGCUAGAGAGAUCAUGUUUAACAAUUUUAUGCAUAUUUAUAUAUGGCUAAUUAGUUUAUCACUAUUUGGCCAGUAUAGAUGUGAGUUUCUAUCCAAAUAUGGUGGAUUAUAACAUAUGAUCGGUAUUUUUCCUAAGACUAGUAAAAAAGUAUUCUAAAUUCGAGUCAUAUAGUACGGUAGUCAGUCCACUCUGUAGCAUUAAGUGCGUUUUUAUGAAACUGACCGGUCAGUCGUAUGAUAUAAAAAAAAUUGUUUGCGGGAUUAAAAAUGUCUCCUAUUCGGGUAUCAAUACCUAUUCUUGUUAGGAUGUAUAUACUAACUGUAAAUCAUAAUAGAAAAGAAAGGAAAAAACGAAUUCUCUACUUUCUUUGUCAGCAUUAUGGAAAAAUGUGGAUGUAAUAUUGCAUGGAUGUUGAAUAUCGUGGACCUUGGUUAUAUGCAGGCCCGUCCCUUCUAUAAGGCCAAUGAAGCAUUGGCUUCAGGCCACAUAUUAUAAAUACAAAAAAUAGGUCACAUUUUCAAAAAUUACUUGUAGCUUAGAUGGGAAAAGUAAGAGAUGUUAGACCUUCUGGUCUCUAGUUCGAACCAGACCACAGCCAGUUUUAAAUUGGUAAUUUUUAUGAAGGGCCACAUUAUUUGACAGGCUUUAAGCCUCAUAAAUCUUUCGGACGGCACUGGUUAUAUGUUUAAUCCCAUUACUAGCCAGAGAACUACUGCCAAAGAGGCGCACGAAAAGGCAUAUUUUAGUUUUGUUCGAGCUAAUUACAUGUGUUGAAGUUUGGUGAUACCAAUAUUCAGGGCUGGCUCAUUACCAUGUAGGGUCUCGGACAACAUAAAUUUAUAUGCCCUAUAAUUAUUAGUUUUAAUAUUAUUUUUAAAUAUUAAUAUUUAAGAUAAUAUCAAAAACCAAUAAAAUAAUUUAAACAGACUAACUAAUUUUAUUUUAAUCCAGUUUUAUGAUUAAAAUAUUUUACAUUAAUAUAUUUACAAAAUUAUUUAAUCUAAAUCAAAUAUUUUUUUGAGCAACCACAUAUUAUAUUAAAACUUGGGAAGAUUUUUUAGCCCAAAGGCCAGUCCAUAGAAAGAUCAGAUACAAUAGAGUGGGCUUUUAGGGCCUGUUUAGCUAAUGAGUCAGCAGCCAUGCAUGUUUCGGGAACGAGGGAUAUGCUAAAAAAAAGAUAGAGACAAACUCAGGAGAAGCUUGAUCGAUGUCGUUGAGAACACUAUAGAUUUCCUUGAACUGCAGUUUGUUGUUAAUUACUCUGAUGAGCGUUGAACAAUUGAAGAAGAAGGUGAUGCUGGAGAUUCCUGUCUCAAUAGCACUUUUAAUUCCUCUUUAGAGAGUUAGGGUUUCAGCCAUGAAAGGGGAAGCUACAUUGUUGAUGAUUUGGGUUCCCGGUCGGGGUGGUCCGUUCACGAUCCAUGCGAUACCUGCUCUGUUUGUGGCGGCAUCGCAGGCUGCGUCUAUUGAGCACGAGAGCGGCAUCUCCAAUUUGAGCUGCUUUUCAUGGAUCUUAUGGUUUAUUUGCAAAAAUCAGAAUGGAAAAAUUUAUAAGAAUCAGAGAAGGGAUCCUUUCGAGCUCCUCCGGACUGCAGAAAUUGAGAGUGUCACGUGGGCGGAGUCACAGACCAAGGAUUUUCCAAAUGUGGGGUCCUCAUAUAAUGUGGAUAACCUUAUUACAGGUGAUAUAAGUAGGUGUUAUAUCGAUGGAGCAUGGAGGGCACAAGACUCGUGCACAGGACAAGGAUGGGUUUAUAACGCAGGUGAAUCAACUGAUACUAUGAUGGGAGCCAUGUCUAUUCGCAAAAGUCUAUCACCUUUACAUGCUGAAUGUGAAGCGUUGAUAUGGGCGAUGGAGUGCAUGAAGACCCUACGAAUCUCAGAAGUGGUGUUUGCAACUGACUGCUCUCAACUGGUGAAGAUGGUGUCUACACCAAAAGAAAAGUCGGCGUUCACUACACAUAUGGAGGAGUUUCUGCGAUGUAAGGAAUUUUUUCAUCCCUUUACUAUUCAGCAUAUCCCGAGUGCACAAAACACAAUGGCGGACAAGCUAGCACGAGGUGCUAGAAAUCAGCUUGCUGCUAUGGUUUAUGUUGAUUCAAUUCCCCCGAGGUGGUUCUUGGUAUGAAUCUUUUUAGGUCUCUUUAGUUUUUGUUGAAAGAAAAAGAAAAAAAAGUGCAAGUUAACUACCAAAAAUUGAUGUAUUUUCAAUACUGAUACGUGUAUGUCUCUUUCUUAUUAUUAUUCCCGAAAUACUUUUUUAUAUUGCCGUGUUGAUAAACAAAUUUAUUAUUGAUAUUUCUAUGUAUAUAUACAAAUAAACCUUGCUUAUAUAGUAUCUGUAAGUGGCUGAAUAUGCGAUGGCAGAAAAUAAGACUUUAAACUAUAUUAAAUGGUCUGUUUUAUUAUUUACUCUUUAAACUUUUAAGAAAUAAGAAAACAGAGAAGAUAUAUAUUCCAAAGUUUUCUUACAAACAAAAAUUUAGUGGUGGUCGUUGUAACUUUCUUAUCAAUCUGGUUUCCUAUAAGCCACAUCAUCUGGAGCAUUUUUGGAUCUAAGAAAAACACCGGACCUUGUAUAGUUUUCUUCUAGUGCAAUAAAUGACAAAGCUUAUACAAAAAUAUAUUGACAUUUGACAAUAUCAUUGUGUAAGUGUGAGUAAUGAAUAGACCAGACCCAGUCUCACUUUUGCUUGUCGCUUUUAGGAGAUGAUACGAUAGAUGCUCUUUUACCUUUCUCUUUGCAGCUUGCACAUUAUAUCCGGACACGAGUCCUCCUAAAUGGUUGUUUUUUAUCGCAGAAAAUAUUAUUAUAACAGUCUUUUUAGAGCUGUAACCACAAAAGACUUGCAUGAUAACGCCAUUAUAUCUAAAAUAAAGAGAUCAGUUCAAAGAAUUAUUAAUCUAUUUCUGUGAAUCUGCAGUCGAAAUAUAAUGACAUGUGGUCGAAUCAUAUCAUAUCUUAUUUAUUAUAUAGAUUCAUGUCCUCAUCACAAGAUAUAGAAUAAACACCUACACUUUUUGUUGGAGAAAAUAGAUAUACAAUCCGUUUUAAUGAUAUAAAAUUGAUAUAUUCCCACUCGGCUAGCUAUCAGUAAAAAAAACUAUAUAGUAAAAUAUGAAAACUAUAUAAGCUUUUAAGGGUAUAUUCUAAUCUUUGAAAAAUAUUAACCAAUAAAAAUUGACUAGUUUAAAAAAAAAUAAAAAAAAAUUCAGAAUCUCUAAAAAUAAUAAAUUAUUAUUUUCCUCAUUUGUUAUGAGUUUAUUGGUGAAAAUUUUUCUCUUUAACCAAUAGUUUACACUAAAUUACUUCUCCAUCCGUUCCAUUAAGAUAGACUUUUUAAAAAAAAGUUUACUUCACAAAGAUACAUUUUUUGUGUUUUCUGUGAAAAAAUUAUAAAUUUCGAAAAAAUUAAUUGACUUUAUUGAAUUAUUAUUGGUUAAAAGUUAUUAAAAAUUAAAAAUUAUAUAAAACGAUACAUUUAUUAUAGUAGUUUAAUGUGUUUUCUUGAUAAAUCUGUCUUUACGAAACUAAUGGAGUAUAAAAUAAUAAAAGAAUAGAAUAGUAUUCUAAAGUGAACUAAUGAAUUAUUUUGUUUUGAAUUAUUUUAUACGAUUUAUAUUUUGAUUGACAAAGCAUUUGCAAAAGAAAAUAUGCUUUUUACUAUCCAAUCAAUUAUUACCGUACAAUCAAAGUAUACUUUUUAAUAAUAUGGUUUUGACUAAAAGUACAAAUGAGCAAUGAGAGCGAAACUAAAAAUAUUAUGGGAACGGAAGCAUACUUUUUAAUAACUAACAUAUGUGACCGAUCAUCAUACAAUUAAAACAAGAUAUUAACGUAUUAGAAAAAUUAACAGAAAAUUUAACGGGAAUUUAAGAAUUAAGAAUGCAUCAAACCGUUGUAAUGCAUUAAUUAUCAUGAAUAAUAUUUUUUAUUUGGCCAAAACACAUGAGAAAGGAUAAGUUAGUUAAUAAAAAUGUGAAAAACGAAGUCCGAUACUCAGGAUUUCGAUAUUAGCUAUUAAAAAUUAGUAACAGAAAAAAAGAAAAAAAAAACAUUAACAGUAUCAACGUUUACUUACAACUUAAAAAGAUUAUUUAGUUGACAAAAACGAUGAUGACGUUUUUAUAUGGCCCCCAAAAGAAAAUUGGUAGAAGAAAUCAUAGGCAAAUUCGUUUUCUCUACAGUAGACACGUCAAGAUAUACAAAGAGAACAUUUUGAUUAAUGUUUAUAUUUUAAAACCGAAAAUGAAUCUAUAUACAUAAAUGUAUCAGUUUGGAAUACGGAAACCCUAGAAGUCGUAUAGAGAGGUGAUCACUAACGACACGUGUGAGAGUAGCCACAUGUAAAUUAUCCUUCGCGAUUCUUAAAGUUCUCUACCACGUUUAGGCGUUAGGUUCGAUCCUUAUUUAAUUGCAGUUCUACUUUGUGAAGUUUUUAGUCUAUCCUUUAUACAUACUUACAUUUGCACAAUGUAUUACAUUCAUAGUUUUGUUUGAAACCAUUCAUAUUCGUAGUUAAAUACGACAAUGUUGAUGAAAUACGUUUAUAAUGAUGAAAUACGUUUAUAAUGCAUACUUAAUUAAGCAAGUAUGCAGCCAAUAAUAUUUUCAAGGCAGCCUUGUCCAAUUAUAUAUCUAAAUAUUGAAACUAUUAGAUUUUCAGGAUCUUAACCUCUUUCUACAUUUGCAAUCGAUCUCCUGUUGUUAUUCGUUUAUUCAACAAGUUUGCCCUUUAAAGACUCACUAGAACUUGACCCGCACCCCCGUGCAGGUGUUUGAUUUAAUUUGUGUUUAACAUAAAAUCAUAAACCGCUGGUUUGAUUAAAAAAAUUUCAUAUAUAUUUUUUUAUGUUUUGUAAUGUACAUAUAGAGUAGAAUCGUCUAUGUAAUCUUUCUCAUAUCAUAAUUGUAAUAUCAUAAUAAAUCAGCGUUAAAAAAAGAGAAUAAAAUAUAUUAUUUUAUAAUAUAGAUGUUUGAUAAUAAUUUUUUUAUUUGUACAUAAUAUUAUAUUAUUUUUUAUAACUUAAUGUAAUUUGAUGUAAUUGUAUAAUUCAUAUAUUGAUCUGUUGUUUUUCUGUUAAGGAAAACAUGCCUAAAAUUUAAUUUUUGUAUUAGUUUUCUAUGAAUUAUUAUUAAUUUUAUGAUAUUUUAUUUUCUUGAAAAUUAAACUCUCAAAAUUUUUAUAUUUGACUAAACUAAAUAAAGUAAUACUAUAUUUAAAAUUCUUUUAUAUAAGAUAUACUAUAUAUUUUAGUUUUUUUUUUAUAUUUUCACUAUAAAGAAACAACAACCAUUGUAAUUAAUUAAUUUAAAUUAAUUUUAAAUGUAGUGGCAGAAUCUAUAAAUAAAAAUACAAAAAGGAAAUAUAUAAUUUAUAAUAAAUGUAAUGACUAAAUGUGUAAAUAAAAUAAAGUAAUUAAUCUGCUAUCCAUGUUACCAAACAAAUUCUCAUUUAUGUUUUAUCCUUGUUUCCAAAUAAUUCUCAUUUAUGUUUUAUCCAUGUUUCCAAACAGUACUAAAAUGUACUUCAGUUUUAAUAAUAUAGAUGGUUGAGUGUUUCCACUUUUUAGAUUAAUAUUGGGUAUUCAAAUCAGUUGAAGGGUUUAGAAUAAUAUCAAUAAAUUGUUUUUUAGGCCAAAAAAAUGAUAAUUAUAUCAUAUUAAGCUAACCUCAUAACUUUAUGUCUUACUAGUCUAAAUAUUUUCGAAAUUACAAUUAAUAAAACAAUUUUUAAAUAUCAAAAUAUAACUUUUAACUAAAAUAAUUAAAAUAAAUAUUAAAAAUUCUAAAAAAAUAAAGUUCAAAGUUUUUUUUUCUCAAAGGAAUCGAUCAAUCCCAUAAGCAACCAUUUGAUCUAAACUGGUCGAUCCUGAUAAAUAAAUCUAGAACAAUGAAAAUAUGCAUAGCAUAUAGUGAUCGACCAAGCCCGCAGAAGCUUAAUCCCACUUCGAACGGUCGCGUCUUCGGGAUCGAUCGAUCACGUGCCCAUGUAAGUCUUCCAAAUCGAUUUUUUGGUUUUCGUCGGUUAAAUCUGGUUUGAUUCUCACUUGAUUUGAACCGAACAAACGCGAGCUGAACUCUUCAAAUUCAAUUUCUAAUCAAUCAAACUCAUUUUUCUCUUUUCUUUGAAAAAACAAAGGGGAGAAGAAGAUGGCAUGAAACAAAUUUUCAAAUCAAUGUUUUAAUUUUUUUUAAUUUAGAAAUUGAUUUUAUAAAUCACUAUUUUUUAAAUUGAUUUAAUAAAUAUAAAGAAACUAAAUAUUUCCAAAUAUUAUCUUUCCAUAUUUUUUGGAACUGAUUAUCUUUAUCCGUAGAAUUUGUAUUCUACUAUAUGUUGAACACAAUAAACAUGUUUGAAAUCGAUUUCUACCUGUUUUAGAUUUAUAGUAAUGUGUAGAUUCCGAUUUCUACAGGUUUUAGAUUUAUAGUAAUGUGUAGAUUUCGAAUUCUACAGAUUUUAGAACGAUAGGUUAAGCAUGGAAUGUGUGUUUCCAAAUAUUUUUAGAUUGCUAUUAGUUACGUAGAUUACGUAUUCUAAACAUAUUAGAUUCAAUGAAAACAGUGGAUUACAUUUUCUACUGUGUAGAAUGUCAAUUCUACUUUUUGUAGAAUAAAAUAUGAAAUUAUGAUUUAAACACUUCUAGAACUGAAAAAAAUAUCAAUAGAUUGAUAUAGGUAUUUUAUCAGUAGUUAUUAUUUUUGAAUUAUUUUUUUGUAAAACUAUUUAUUUGAUUUAUUUUGAAAAAUACUAAAAAGUAUUAGAGGAAAAAAUAUAUAGUACAAAAAGAAAUUAGUCUAAUAAGACAUAUCUAUCAUUUUUUGUCAUAAAAACAAUUUUCCUUAAAAAAUAUAACUCUGGAUAAACACUCUAUCCGGAUAUGCAAAUAAGUUGAAAACAAAAAUUUAUAUCCAACUUAGCUUCUUAUAGUAAAUGAAUCAAAUCUAAAAUGUGUCCGAAGUCCGUUUUUUUACCACUUAAUCACAAAAAUUCCAGACAAUAGUUUUUUUUUUUUCAAUUCCAGACAAUAGUUAAAUAAAUAAAACUAGGAUAAGACCCGCGCUUUGCGCGGGAUUAAGUUAUUAUUUUUAUUAUAUUUUGGAAAAUGAAACAAUAGUUUGGCUUCAUUUGGAUUACGGGUGUUCAAUCCGGAUAUCGGGUUGGUUUCGGUUCGGUUCGAUUUUUUCGGUAUUUGGUUAGUAAAAUAUAACUACUAUUCUAAAUCCAUAUUUACUUUGAUUUUAGUCUUUCACAUACUUUUGAAAGAUUUCAACUCGACGACUAAAUUGAUCAGCCAAUCUUGUUGCUUUAAAUCAUUAGUGUUUAUAUAUAUAUAUAUAUUAUUUAGUUUGAAUAUUUAUUAAAUAAAAAUUCAUAUGCGUUAUAUUUUAUGAUCAUUUGUAACUUAUUAUAACAAAAAAAUAAUCUAUUGAUCACAAAAUUUUCAGAGUGGGAAUAUUCAAAUUUCUAAUAAUAUAUAGACGUUUUGAAAAAUUCAAAUAUAACAUAUAAGAAAAAAAUAUAAAUGUUUUUAUUAUAUAUUUAAUGUGAUUUUUUAAUAUCUUUCAAUAAUAUAAAAUUAAAAAAAAAGAACUAAGAUACCAAAAUUGUUAUCAAAUAUUUAUUAUUCAUAAUAAUUAAUUUUCAUAUAUACGUUAAUCAUAUUAGGUAAUUUUGUAGCUUCUAAUUAAGGAAAGUGCAAAAAAAAUUUUGAUAGAUUAUUUAUCAAUUCGAUAGUUAGUUUAAUAAAAAAUAUAAUGUAAGUCAAGAUGGACCAACCUAUUUUUAUAAGAAUAGUAUAUUUUAUAUAGUCAUUUAUUAAAUGAGAAUUUAUAAUCAUACAGUUCUAUAAUCAUUCAUAUCAUUUUAUAACUGAAUAUUUAAAUCAUCGAUAACAAAAUUUUCAAUGUGAAAUCUUUAAUAAGUUUAUAAUUUAUAAAUAUUUUUGAAAAUUCAUUGAAAGUUUUAAUAUUAAAAUAUUUAUGUAAUCUUAUGGUAUAUAGUAUAAUCUAUAUAUAUAUAUAAAUAUAUAUGUUUUAUUAUUAAAUGAUAUUUUUUACUCAUAAAGUUUUAAAAUAAUGUGUAUCUUCUUAUAAUAUUAAAUAAAAGUUCAUAUUAAUACAAUUUUAUGAUCAUUUGUAACUUAUUAUGACAAAAAAAUAAUCUAUUGAUCACAAAAUUUUCAGAGUGGGGAUCUUAAAAUUUCUAAUAAUUUAUAGACGUUUUGAAAAAUUCAAAAUAUAACAUAUAAGAAAAAUUAUAAAUGUUUUUAUUAUAUAUUUAAUGUGAUUUUUAAAUAUAUUUUAAUAAUAUAAAAUUAAAAAAAGAACUAAGAUACAAAAAUUGUUAUCAAAUAUUUAUUAUUUAUUAUAAUUAAUUUUCACAUAUACGUUAAUCAUAUUAGAUAAUUUCGUAGCUUUUAUUUAAGGAAAGUCCAAAACAUUUUUUGGUACGUUAUUUAUCAAUUCGAUAGUUAGUUUAAUAAAAAGUGUAAUAUAAGUUAAGAUGGACCAACCUAUUUUUCUAGGAAUAGUAUAUUUUGUAUAGUUAUAUAUUAAAUAAGAAUUUAUAAUCAUACGGUUCUAUGAUCGUUCAUAUCGUUUUAUAACAAAAUAUUUAAAUCAUCGAUAACAAAAUUUUCAAUCUGAAAUCAUUAAUAAGUUUAUAAUUUAUAAAUGUUCUUGAAAAUUCAUUGAAAGUUUUAAUAUUAAAAUAUUUAUGUAAUCUUAUGGUAUAUAGUGUUUAAUAUAUAUAUAUAUAUAUAUAUAUAUAUAUAUAUAUAUAUAUAUAUAUAUAUUUAUUUUAUUAUUAAAUGAUAUUUUUUUUACUCAUAUGGUUUUAAAAUCAUGUGUAUCUUCUUAUAAUAAAAAUGUUAAACCAUUGAUCAUUAAUUUUUAACAUAAUAAUUUUAAUAGUUUUAGUCAUUUAUUGUCGUUUUUAAAAAUUCAAAAUAUAACAUAUACGAAAAAAUCUAAAUUUUAUUUUUAUAGCUAAUUUGAUUGUUUAAUUUAUUUUAAUAAUAUAAAAUUAAACAAAAAAUGAUGGAGGAGAUAUACAUUGUUAUCAAAUCUUUAUUAUUAAACUCAUUAAUUGUCAUAUAUAUAUUAGUCAUUUAUGGUAAUUCUGUAGGUUUUAUUUAAGGAAAGAAAAUAUCAUAUCAUAUCAUUAUAUCAUAUAGUUUGACCAACUUAUGUAUCUAACAACAUAUAAAAAUCGAAUGUGGACCUACUUAUUUUUCAAUUGAAUGUAAUUGACUAUUUAAUUGAGUGCCACCUAUGCAUUGGAGCCUCUUUUAAUUAAUACAAAAUUGAGAUUACAUCUUUUCAAAUGUUCCUCAAUUAAUAUAUAAGGGAUAUGUCCGCGGUUAUAUACAAUCGGAGUAGUGAAAAUUUUCUAAAAGCGCUGGUUACAGAAGAAUCUUAAUCCUUACAUGAAACAAAUGUGAUCACAUGUUUUAAGUCCGAACUGAUUCCACAUCUUUUGUUAUUUAGAAUCGUCUACAUAAGAAAUCAAUACCAAAUUAUAUUUUCUAAAUUAACUACUGUUUUUCUGUUUCUUCGUCGGUCAAUUGCAUGGAGGGGAGAAUUUUGUUUAGAUAAAAGAGGUUUGAAUUUAAAAGAAAAAAACAAAGUCAUGGCUCCUCAGUCCUCAAGAAUAUUCAUGAUUUGACAUAAAAUACUUUUGGCUUGCAACGAGAGUAUUUUUUUAAAAAAAUCAUCAUUUGUAAUCUCUUUAUUUUUUAUGUCGACUUUUGUUUCGACAAAAAUUACCCUGUUAACGCUGCAUUCGGAAACGAAUUAGUACAUUAAAAACCAAAAAAAAAAAAAUGCAGGCGAGCGACAGUUGUUUUCGAUAAUGGAAACCGAGCUGUAUCUUUGGAAAAAUACCUUUCUCCUUAACCAAAAAAAAAACUUAUCCUUCUUUUAUCUUUUUCUAAAAUAUAAAUAGAGCGAUACGGAAACCAACAACAUUUUCAGAAAAGGUAUAAAAUAAUGUAUCAAAAAGGUCUGAUUUCGUGUCCGCGUACGUACAUAAAUGUACAAUACUGGCCAUAUGUAGACAAUAUAGCGAACUGACUCAAUAAAGUCUUUUUAGUUGUGUUUGUCACUACGAAAUCAAUGCAAAAAGGUAAAGGCUAAUUAAAAAUGAUUUUUAAUUAUUUAUUCAAAAUUAUGUACAUUCCAUAUUUUGCCUUAUCGGGACAUAACUCGCAUCCUGAUCUGUUGUGGCAAAUAUAUAAUACCUUUUUGGUAAGCGUUUUGAAUUAUUAAUCAAUGUUCGUAAUGGUGCCCAUAACCCAUUUGUCUUCUUCUUUCCUUCGCAAAAUGUUUAUUUUUCCGGCAAAAAAGGGAUAAUUUAAAAAAAAAAUUAAAAAGAAAAGAUAUGUACCCAAUUGGGAAAUUGCCAACGUAACUCCUUUUUCUUUUUUGGCAAAUGCCAACGUAACUCUAUAUAAAGUAAUCUUCUGUCAGGCACGCAAAUAAAGGUCUGCAUGUUAUGAAAAUUAUGGUCGGUCGAAGAACGAUCUACCUUUGGGAUAUUUAGUUUUCCCCCUAAUAUUAUCUUCCUAUAUUAUAAAAAUAGGUGGUUUGCUAGUGUUUGUAGUACAUAUACACGUAGAACUAUUUGUUCACGUGCAUUUAUUGAAUUUAAAUUCGUUGGAAUACUAUUCGUUGUAGAUUGUCAUAUUUCAUUCUUGAUUAUGUUUCUUAGAUGAUUUAAAAGAUGAUUACAUUCCAAUUUUUAACUAAGCUUAGAAAGUAUGUAGUCGCUACUAUGUCAAUUUUACAAUGAUAAGAAAACUUAAACAAAAAACAAUCACCAGUAUUACAAUAGCAUAUCAAUGAUCAUGAAUGAUUCAUGAUCACUUCUAUCACUUGGUUUUAUAUGAUACUAAGAGCAUCCCCAUUAGUGAACCCCAUGAAAGGGGUUCACAAAACAUUUUUUUAUUUUUUUUUUUUGGGUUGAUUUUUGUUUUUAAAAAAAAAAAAAAAAAAAAAAAAUUAUUUUUUCGGACCAGUCGCGGGCCGCCACGUGCCGUGGGGCCCGCGCUACAGUGAUGAACCAGGUUCACUGAGAAGGGGUGGAGAGAGACAGGUUCAUCACUAUUCCUUAUUUUAAUAAUUUUUUUUUUUUGGGAAUGUGUGUGAACCCCCCAUAAGUUCACUAAUGGGGGUGCUCUAAAUACUUUAGUAAAGUACGUAAACUAAUAAAUUGUUAAAGCAAAAAAACAUGUCAAGUUAACUAAUUAAUUCGUAUGUGCCUACUUUUGGGACUACUCAUUCUUAGAUAAACUUUUGAAAUAGUUAACCUAAAAUGAUAUAUACGCAUAGUGCAGUGAGGAUGUUAGUUAUAUUAUGUUGUUUAAAUUAGAAUAGGUCAUACCAUUCGUACGUACAAUAAGCAACCACCCCGCAAUCAAUAUAUUUCCGACCGCGUAUGCUUCGUGUUGCCAAAACAUUAAAUUUGGGUUCGCCUGUAUGAUCUAUAAAUUAUAUAUUCAGAUUCAACUUGACUACUUGACUGGGACAAAUUUAUUUAACUAGUUGAGGCAUUGAGCUACCCGGCCGUUAGUUGUUUUGUUUGUAUAUAUAUAGUUUUGCUAGUAUAUAUUCCUGAAAAAAAUCGCUUCGUGAUGUCCAAAUGCAGUCUAUUUUGAAAAAGGGAAUCUAGCCUUCAUUUGAUGGUUCAUUUCAUUUGAAGUAAUUAUAAGUUUGUAUAGAUUCGUCGUCAGGUUGAAACAUUUUUAAAUUAUUCGUUUUUAAUAGUCUGACAUUUAUAUUAUAUAUAGAUCAUGUAGUAGGAUGUGAUUGGUAAAACUUGGCAUAAUUGAGAGGAAUAUAAUUUGGUGGAAAUGAGUGAAAAGGUAAUUAAAGAGAUAAAAAUAACGCUGGAGUAAAAGUUUUAUCCAUAGGAAAGAGAAAGGAUGUUUUGCGCCAGAAACUCAGAAAAAGACAAAACAAAUUACUCUGCAUCAAAUGUUACUUUUUAUUCUGAUUGGUUUUGUCCUAGCGUAACUGAGCUGAAAAUAACUUUUACUCCAAUAUUUUUACUCUAGAAAGGCUAUCCAAUCAGACUCGUAAUGUGGUAUUGUGCUUACAAAUAUGAAAAGUUGAUCUUAGUAUUUUUAUCAUUGAGAUCGAUUAAAAAGAGGCCUGACGCAUGGCGAGCCAGGUGUCACUGAAAUGUUUUGACGACAUGAAAGUCGUCGCCGAACUUUUAAAACCGGGAGAAAUAAGUUUUGAUGGUCCCAAGUUCAACAGUCACAGUUGAACAUAAAGCAAUUUCGUGAAACAAAAGUAUCUGAAUAAUCUAAGCUAAGUCAUACAUUGCAUUUGCCAUUUAUACACAUAGAAAUGUUCUUGUUUUGAUCAAAUCAGGCUAGGUUUAAAUCCCAUAAUUGGGUUCAUUAAUUAAUUCGAGAAAGAUGCUUUUAGUUAUAUAAUACUAAUAAUCAUUGAUAUUUGGUUGUGUGUACGCUAAUGUAGCAAGUGUUUGUGAUUAGUAAGUCAAGAGAAAUAUGACCAGGAGAUGUUUGGUGUUUUUGCUGAUGCAAUCUACGUAUAAUAAUUCAGAUUAAAUCUAAAUAACUUAUAUUCUUGACAAACAAACAAUACAUAUGCGUCUUUAUACGUAAUUACGUAUCUAUUAAUUAUUGUAAUUUUCCUUGACAAUGUUGUAGCUGGGUUGUAGCUAGUCAUUACCCAUAUAUAUACACAUAUGUGUGCAAUGUAUUUCCUAUAAAUUAUAGGGUUUGAUUGGUGACAUGUGGUAGGGUUGAUUAAGUUUGAGUUAAGCUUGUAACUCAAAAAUGUUACCAAUCAUGCAUUAAAUUUAAUUUUUUGAUUUUAAGUUUGAUUUAAGAUGUGUUGUAGUUGAGUUACAACUUUGACUUAAACCCUUUAUAAAAUUGCUAACUCAAAACAUAAACCUACAUCAACUAAAAUCCCAUGUUUUAAGAGUUGAGUUACAAAUUUAAUUGAUUUUUCUGUUUUAAAAAAAAAAAAAUCGUGAACAAACCUUCUUACAACAAGAGAAAAUCGUGAACAACCAUUUGAGUGUCCCAUAAAUACUCUACCUAAAUUUAUGCUAGUUAAAGAUUUUAUAAUCUUUCUUGUUCCUAAUUUUUUAAAUUAUUCAAAUGUUUAGUCAAUUAUACAAAAUCUUAAGCAUAAAUUCUAUUUGAUAAUUCAAAAAAAAAAAACACUUGUCACAAAAUUCUAUAUAUAUUGACCUAAAUUAGUGUGGUAUCACGUCAUUUUCAAAACCCGAAAGCUUAAGGUCUGUAAUUUUUUUUUAAUUUUCACGAACAUUUGUAAUUUUUUUCUAUUAUUUGGUUUUUUAAUUUAAAGUUCAUGAUAAUAAUAUUAUUUCAUUUAAUUUAACUUAUUAUUGAUAUUAAAAUAAAUAUUAUUAGUAGUUAUUAUAAUACUUAGAAAAUUAUAUAUACUGAAAAUUAUUUUUUAAAAUUUUAUACUUAUUUAAAAAAAUUAUUUCUAUUUAUUUUAAAAAUAGCUUAAUACGAAAAUAUUUAUUUCUCUGUUUUUAUAUUCAAUUCUUUUAUUCAGAACUCAUACUGCAACUUAUACAUCAAAAAUGUUACCAGUCACAAGUUUUAGUAAAAUGAUAACUUUUAUUUUUACUGCAAAACUUACCACAUAAACUUGCCGUUUUUACCACAUACUUUUUACUGCAAGUUAUAUCGAACUAUAAAUUACAUGUUCAAGUAAUUCAACUCUAAAACUACAUGUCACCAGUCGGAGCCAUAAUCAAGUUAACAAGUUAAACAACAUAUGAAAUCAAAAAGCUAAACAAAAGAUUAAGUCAACAAGUUAAACAAAAUAAUUAUUUGCAUAUCCGAUAAGGCAUGCUGACGUAGUGUUGGAUCUUAACAUAGAUGGGGGGGAAUCGUAUAAGUGGAUCUUAACAUGGAUUUACAAUGCCAUCUAAUUAAACGUUUAGGCCAAAGUUUAUUGAAUUUCUUAGGUCUUGAUUAGAAAAGCCAAUGACAAAGCAAAUACUGAUAUACUAUAAAACAGUAUGUACUACGCAGUAUGCUGCAGAAUUUUUUGUCUGUAUAUAUUUACUGAUGUUUUCAUUUUAUUAAAAAUUAUUAUACGAUAUAAAAACCACUCAUCUUUUUUUCAUUGAAAGUUCCAUUAAUCAUAAACAGAGAUUUACAUGUGACGAGAUAAAAAUCUACCAAGUUAAAACUUACCUCUAGAACCAGCAAGCAGGAAACAAAUCUUUCUCUGGAAGAAUAAGCCGACAGAAUUAACCAAAUUAUUUGGAGAUAAAACAACUAAAACAAAGACUAAAAUACAAACAUAUAUCAAUUCUAGAUCGAAAUUACAAGACACCCACCCAUAUACGAGGAGACACAGAAAGAUCGAGGGGAGGAGCAUAGCGGCACCCAAACACCAAAUUUUAUUAGGAAAGAAGCCACACUUCAUAAUUUUCCUUUGAAGAUUACUCCAUAAUCUACGAGGAAGAAAGCGGACCAUACAACUCAUGAAGAUGAUAGACACAAUUUUUAACAUUCAAACUUUCACGGCAGAAGGCAUAAAGAACCAGAGCCCCAAUUCCUUGAGAAAAAACCAGAGAUUCUAUCCACCAAGACAAACGAUAAGGAAAUCAAUCCGGGAUCUAUUCCAUGGCAAUAUAUAGAAGCCAAGGAAAAACCAACUCUUACAAUCCUCAGUAGAACCACCACAUGAAACUGAUAAAAGAAAAUGCAACCAGAUCAGGAUGGAAAAACCAUCGAAAGAAACAAAGACUCUUGAAUUAAAUACACAGCGAAAGAUCUCUGAAACCAACAAUAGAACCUAGAAAAAAAAAAAAACAUGCUAGGGCAGAGAAUAAGCUUCAAUAGUUUACAUAAAACAUAAUUCGGAGCAACACUUGUUUCUAAAAAAUACGAAUAACUCAAAAAGGUGUUUAAAUGUGUUUAUUUGAGAUUUAACAUGUCCAUGGACAUAGUUAAUGGAAAACAAUACAAUGGUUAGUUCUUUAAAAAAUGAGAUAAUGAAAUUGUUACGCACAAGAUGAUACAUUUAAGACCAAAUAAGCCUUUAAAGCAUAGCCCUUCAAUUAAAAAAAAAGGGUCCACGGAGUUCUGACUAAAUAAAAAAGACAUAAACCUUUCCCGUACCUUACAUUUGUCUCUACUUAAGGUUAAGGGCCAAAUUGCUCUUAAUUCUUUCAUUGUAUAAUUGAUUAAGAUUAGGCUUUAUAAUAAAUAAAAACUAACUAAUUAGUCCUUUUGAGUGGCUCUGCAUCUCUUUUAAUUUAGUUGCUUCUCUUUAAUAGUUUGUUUGUUUGUUUGGUCAAAAUCUCACACGCUCUUUUUGCAUGCUCUUUGCCACGUGCUAUCGUCGUCUCUCUCAAAUGAGCUGUCUCUCUAAUCAGUGUUUUUCUGUAUAGGAACCUCUCUCUCUCUCCCUCUCUCUCAUCGUUUUUCUCUCUCAUCUAACACAUGAGAAGAGCCUAUAAAACCCCUUCACAUCUCCCACUUGGUUUGCAUCACAAUACAUCUUCCCAUUACACAAAAAACAAAAAUAUAACAAAAUAUCUUUUUUCUGUUUUGUUUUAAAUAGUUUGAAGUCACAAGUUCUUUGUUGUUCAGCUGUUUCCCCCUUCCCACUAUCAUCAUACGAAGUGGGGUUUCGCUGGACGAAUAAACGAAAACUUUAAUUUUUAUUAAAGAAAAAUGGAUUUCUCCGCCUUGCUUCUAACUCUCUUCACCGGAAUUAUCUUCCUCUACUUCCUCCGGUGCUUAAUCUCUCAGCGCCGCCGUGGACCCUCGAAACUCCCACUCCCGCCGGGAACAAUGGGUUGGCCUUACGUCGGCGAGACUUUCCAGCUCUACUCUCAAGACCCUAACGUCUUUUUCGCAUCAAAACAGAAAAGGUCGGUGCUUUAGAAAAAAAUUGCUAUAAUACUAAUUGCCAAAAACAGAGGAUCUCGUGUUGAAUAAAGCUUUGGUCUUUUUUUUUGACAGGUAUGGAUCGGUGUUUAAGACACAUGUAUUGGGAUGUCCGUGUGUGAUGAUCUCAAGCCCUGAAGCUGCCAAGUUCGUGCUCGUGACCAAGUCUCAUCUCUUCAAACCUACUUUCCCGGCGAGUAAAGAGAGGAUGCUAGGGAAACAAGCCAUCUUCUUCCACCAAGGUGAUUACCACGCGAAACUCAGGAAGCUCGUCCUCCGUGCUUUCAUGCCUGAAGCGAUCAGAGACAUGGUUCCCGACAUCGAAUCAAUCGCUCAGGACUCUCUUCGAAACUGGGAUGGAACAAUGAUCAACACUUAUCAAGAAAUGAAAACAGUAAGACGCAUACUUCCUCUGUUUCGCCCCUCAAAACAGAGCAUCUCUGUUUUUUUCUCUCUAUAUACUCUGUUUUUUUUUUUUGAAACUGUUGUUUUUCUUUCUUCAGUACACAUUCAACGUGGCGCUGCUCUCGAUCUUCGGAAAAGACGAGGUUCUAUACAGAGAAGAUCUGAAACGAUGCUACUACAUUCUCGAGAAAGGCUACAACUCGAUGCCUGUAAACCUCCCUGGAACGCUCUUCCACAAAGCUAUGAAGGCUCGCAAGGAGCUCUCACAGAUCCUCGCUAGGAUCUUAUCGGAGAGAAGGGAGAACAGAUCCUCACACAACGAUCUUCUCGGUUCUUUCAUGGGUGACAAAGAAGAGCUGAGCGACGAACAGAUCGCUGAUAACAUCAUCGGAGUGAUCUUCGCCGCUAGAGACACGACAGCGAGUGUGAUGACGUGGAUCCUUAAGUACUUGGUUGAGAAUCCCAACGUUCUAGAAGCCGUUACUGUAAGUUCUUUUACUGACACGUAUUUGACGUUUUCUGGUAAUAAAAGGGGUAGUUUUGUAAUUUAUGUUGUUGUUCUUGAUGGUUUUUAUUUUUUUGGUGUUUAACAGGAAGAGCAGAUGGCAAUAAGGGAGGACAAAGGAGAAGGAGAGUCUCUAACUUGGAGCGAUACAAAGAAGAUGCCAAUAACUUCAAGAGUCAUUCAAGAAACAUUAAGAGUUGCUUCAAUCCUAUCUUUCACAUUCAGAGAAGCUGUAGAAGAUGUAGAGUAUGAAGGUAUUACAUAAAAUUUUCAUAAAUCCCAAACCUUACUCUUUGAACUUGUCAAAUUUAUUCUAAAAACGUUUUUUUUUUUGUUUUUUGUUAUUUUGGUAUACAGGAUAUUUGAUACCUAAAGGAUGGAAAGUUCUGCCGCUUUUCAGAAACAUUCACCAUAGUGCUGAUAUCUUUUCAAAUCCUGGGAAGUUUGAUCCAUCAAGAUUUGAGGUAAUGUAUUUAUCUUCUAGAAAAUAUCUUUUUUUUUUCGUUUUGGAGAUUGACUUGUAUUGAUAUUAUUAUUUAUUUGGUACGUAGGUGGCUCCAAAACCGAAUACUUUCAUGCCAUUUGGCAAUGGAACCCACUCGUGUCCUGGAAAUGAACUAGCCAAGCUUGAGAUGUCUAUCAUGAUACAUCAUCUAACCACCAAGUACAGGUGUGUGUACUAUUUUUACUUAUUUACCUUUUCAUUUACUUUAAAAGUGUUUUGUUUCUCUAUGCUGAUAAGGAGUACUUUUGUAAUUGCAGAUGGUCGAUAGUUGGAGCUAGUGAUGGGAUUCAGUAUGGACCCUUUGCGCUUCCCCAAAACGGACUGCCCAUUAUGCUGACCCGGAAGUCGGAAAUCGAUAUGUAGAGUUACGUGAUUGUCCCUUAGCAAUUCUUUAGAGGGAGACUACAGAAGAGAAACUAUAAUUGAUUUUUCUUGCUAAAGAAAAAUAGGGAGAAAUGGAAAGAAAAAAAAUCAAGAUUUUGGUAGGUAAAAAAUUCUCAAAAAUGGGAAAACAGGAGAAGCACCAAUUGUAAAAAAAAGAAGCAAUUUUUCUUAUUUAUUUAUUUUAGUUUAAGAUGGGGAAAAGUUGGUCAUUGAGUCUUCAAAUUCAAGGAAAACGUUAUAUGAAUAUCUUAAUUGUAUUUCAUUCACCCCAAAAAUAUCAUGAAUAUAUUUAACUGAUUCGUCCCGUACUUGGACUUUCCAAGUUUUUUAUUUAGUUUUAUAGUAUACACCUAUAUGUGUACGUGUUAGAGCAUCUCCAAAGAGACUCUAUUUUUUUUUCUAUAAUUUAUAUUAAAAUAGAGUAAUUUUAUUAUAGUGUAUUUUGCUCCAAUGGUGUUACUCUAUAAGUCUAUUAUAGAGUGAAAUAUAGAGAAAUGUCAUAUUUUAUUCUAUAUUUGGAGUAGAAAAGUGACAUCUCUCUAUUCACUCUAUAAUAGAGUUACUCUAUUAUAGAGUAAUACUAUUGGAGCAAAAGUUACACUAUAAUAGAGUUAUUCUAUUUUAGUGUAAAUUAUAGAGGAAAAAAUAGAGUCUCCCUUGGAGAUGGUCUUAGAGCAUCUCAAAAAUACACUCUAUAAUUUUAAAUAUAAAGUUUUUUGCUCUCUAAAAAGGAAUUUCAAAACUUCAAAUUUGAAGUUUUGAGAAGUGAAACUCUAUAUUCAAAGUUUCACUACUCAAAAUUUCAAAUUUAAAGUUUCAUAUUUUUAUUUGUAUUUUGGUCCUUACAAUUACACAUAACAUUUAUGAUUCAUAAAUAAUUUUUUUGUUUAUUGUUUUAAUACUUAUAAAAAUUAUAUCUCAUAAAUAUUUUAAGUUUUGUUUACAAAAUCUAAGUUUUACACAUAAAAUUAAAUAAAAUUUUAAAAGAAAAUUUAAAAUUAGAUUAGACAACAAAAAUAUACAAAAGAAACUUAACAAAAAAACUUUUAAAAAAUUACAUGAAGAUAUAACUAUUAUACAAAAUAUUACAACACCACUAAUAGUAAUGUAAGUUUGAUCCGAAACCUUCAAAAUUUUCAAAUAUCAUCUAAUUUUUUUUUUGUAACUGAAGAUGGUUGUUGUGGAUGAUGUCUUUUUGUACAAUUAUUUCUUGUUCAUAUUGAAUAUAUUCAUGAGUAUUAAUAUCAUCAAUAAAAGUUAAUCUUUUAGCAUAUAUAUAUUUUAUGUUUCUUUUUUAUUUUCUUGUUCUGAUCUAAUGUAUUUACAAGUAUUAAUAUCACCCGAUUUCAAUAAUUUUUUUAUCUCUAAUCUACAAAUUAAAAAUGAGAAGAGCCAUUUUUACUUUUAAAUGCAUUAGUAGAUCAUAUAUGCAUUAUGAAAAUCACUUUAUGGAAUAAUAUGAUAUUUUGCUUGAAGUUUAAUAUUAAUUAAGUUAGUUUGUUUAAAAUUUUAUAUUAUAAUAUAAUAUGUUAUUAAUUAAUAUUGUUAUAAUUUGUUUAUAUAUGUGCUAGUUAUUUACAAAAGUUUUAUGAAUUCAAAUUAGUUAUGUCAAAUAUAAAGACCAUAUUAUAAAAUACAAAUAGUUUUAAAGUUAAGUUUGAAGUUUUGCUUUUGGAGAAGAACACGUUUAAACUUCAAAUAUAAAGUUUGGAAACUUCAAAAUAGAGUUCCUUUUUGGAAAUGCUCUUAAUGAUAUCCCAAAAUCAAUAUUUUACAGUUUGUUGAUCUUUUUCGUGCAUUACACAAUAAUCUUUUGAAAAUGACAGAAAAUACUUGUACUACAAAAAUUGGAUGAAAUUAACAAAGAAGCCAUAUAUCAAACAUAACAUGCGUUUUUCUGCUCUCGUAUUAGGCACUGGAGAUCGUGUGGUCUUUUCUGUCCUUAUGCGGCCUUGGCGUUGUAGCGGUAAUUUUACUACCCGCGAUUGGGUCUUCUUCUAAGCUUCGGUCUGUCUCGUAUCCGCUAUUUUGUUGUGUGCUUCAGAGAUAAUUAAGAUUGCAAGACUAGUAAGUUCAUCGGUAACUAGCUACAUUGGAGACGACGUGAAGAGACCCCGGAAACCGAGGAAAUGAGGCGAAUCUCUCCUCCUCACAUUCUUCAUCAAAGGUUGAGAACGGUGCUCGAUACUCAACGAUGUAAGAAUCUAUUUAGUGGAACGCGCUUCAGAUUUGAGUAAUUUUGUUCGAGCCAGUCUUGUAAUCAAAAUUAUUCUUCCCGUUCUUAGGUUGAUGUUAUAAAAUUUAAAUUAGAAAAAAAACUUGUGUUUUGAUAUGACCCAAAAAUAUUAUAAGCUAUACAUAUGGCUCCGCGCAAGAAUCAUGCUUACGCCAUCUUCUUAUAGAAAUACUUUCGUUCCUCUCUAGACAAGUGCUCAAGUAAAAAAUACCUCUCCUUUUCGAGUUGCUAAAGCACCUGGGAUGAACGUCCUCUGAUCUAAAUAAGAGCUCCUAAUUGCUUUCUGGCAAUGAGCUACAUGAUAUUUACUUUUCAUCGAAUUAAAAAAAAAUUAUUAGUAUUGAAAGAUUAAUUUUACAAUGUCCUAACAAAAGAAAUAAAGUGCACACUGAUAGUUGCUUUUGUAAUAUAUACGUUUUUCUGAGAUUAUGUCUGAGAUUAUGUAUGUUUAUUUAAGAAUUUAACUCGUCAUUGCACCAUCUCACUAUAAUACAUACUAUAUAUAGUAGUACUAUCUUAUGUAAAUUUUGAGGAUAUUUAUUUCGUUCCAAAUAUCCUGUAAAAAUGAAUGAGGAUACUUAAAUAAAUUAUGUUGUUCCAAACUUCCAAAUAUAAUUUUACACCACAACAUAGUUUGUUUGCAGACUCAAGUAAGUACCAGAUCAAUGAAUGAGUUUGGAGUCGUUGGAAUUGCCACAAUGUUUAUAGACAUUUGUUAGAUUGACGGACGACUUUGACCAUCAUUCACCUAUGAAUUAUGUGGUCAUCGUCGCUUUAUAUAACUUUAUAUACUUAUAUCAUGAUUGAAGAUAUUGAUGCACAGCUGUAAUUGAUUCCCCGGGGAAAAAAUAUCAAACGGGCUAUCAAUUUCUAGUCACUAUCUGUCUUAUUAUCGUGUUAUUUCAAUUACUUGUGUAUUUAUAUUCUGAUAUAACUUAUAGCAGAUAGUACUAAAUAGUAUCUUAUGAGUGUUGACAAAAAAGUAGCAUCAAUAUGGGCAAAUGAGCAAUGGACAAGUGAACCAACAGUACACUAUGAUAUAUAGAAAAAAACAAUUCUGUAAGAUUGUCUUCGAAUAGAAAAUCCAAACAGAAAUCCUGUGCGUCCUUUCUCACUGAAAAGUUCCAUGACAACCAGGUGUAAAUUUGAUGUUUUCACAAAAUGAUGUGUGAGAUUACAGGAAAAAAACGGAUGAUUACAGAUUACUAUGGAAAAGAAAAACAAAACAAGUUUAUAUUUCUAAAAAAAAGUUAUACUAUAGACCAAAACAAUGUUUACUUGUUUUGGGGACUUUGUAUUAUUUACGUCAUAUUGUCGUCCUUUAAAUGUACCAAGCUUCAUGAUUUUCACGUUCAUAUUCUAAAUUUAGAAUAAUAUAGAUAUUUCAUGAUCAAUGGUCCCGAAAAUGUCGGUCCGUGUAGUGAUAUUGCAUUAUCUUGUUUUUACAAGUUCGUAAGUAUAUACAUGGGGAAAAAAUUCAUAUGUAAAACCGUGUAGUGAUAUUGCAUUAUCUUAUAUCUCAAAUUACUUUAUGUUAACAUAUAUAAUUUUCUGAAACUACUAGGUUCCCAUGAGUUUUUAACUACAUAGUAAAAAUGUACAGCUAGGUAUGGGUGAAAACAUCUACAACCAUUUCGCAUAUAGAAUUCAAAAUCAAAACUACGGCCAAACGAUAUCUAAUAUGAUAAAUUUAAGACCAUAGUUUAACUAUAUGUCUAUUUUAUCUGCACAAAUACACCGUAAACCACAUAUGAGAAUAUGCAUCGAUCUAAAUGCCUUUUAAUGUGGAAGUACGAAUACAUCACAUAUAUACCGCUGGUACGUUUCAACCCAACUCCGACAAUAAACCAUAAAUGAGCUUAAGCUUAUAAAACCCCAGUCAUAUCGCAAGCCGCAAGGGGAUUAGAUUUCAACAUAAGUUUGGGCAUUUCUUUCUUGUGAGCAUUGUGACUAUCGAUCUUUUUGAACACUUGUUUAGAUUUUUUCCAACCUCCAUAUAAUCUUCUCGUUAUUCCACUUCUUUCAUCAAACAAUAGCAUCCUGGAUUCACUCUUGAUCUGACUGUGAACUGUAAUCUUCUCAUGGGUGUCACGUAUUUUAUUAACCAUUGCGAAUUAUAUCAACCAAAACUCCACUCUUCACAGUGUUUACAAGAAUAUUGACCUUUAGUAUACAUUUUGUAGAUAGUAAAAAACUUUACUAAGCAUAUACAAACCCAAAAAAAAAAAAUACAAGAACUAAUUAAAAACAUUUAUAGGAUAUCGCAUACCGAUAUUUUCUACGUAAUCAUAUUCUUUCACAGCCCUACUUUCAUUUAUUUGGUACCAAUCGAAUAUUUUUACGUAUCCGUACCAAAUCGGCCAAUCGACGAUUUGUCAACAUAUCGCAUAUAGAAUAAUGAUGUAGUCACAAGUAAUCAUAAUGUAAAUAAUUUUUUUUAAAAAUAUGUCGUAUUCAGCUGUACUUAUGCAAGUAAUGAUUCAUGAAGAAGCAGGCUAUUUGCUUUGACCACAAAUAAAUAACUUAGAACUAUAGCUCUUAUACGUAGAAAUAUCUAUUUGACUUGUGAACAUAUUAGUUAUAUAUUUGUAAGUUAAGUACGUGUACUAUCUAUCAACUCCAUUACGUGGAUUGUUGCAGGAUAAAUAUAUGUGCUCGUUUAAUUAAUUACGAAGAAUAAACAGUCUGGCAUAGAGUGUUUGUAUAUUAGUUGACUUUUGGCUGCAAGCCAUAAUCUUAGAUCAAAUAUAUACUACAGUAUAAGAAACUAAAUAAUUAUUUACGAGAAACAUAUAGGCUAAUUAGUUCUAUGGCCGUUCGAUUGACAGAAAGACUUAGAUCAUUCUCUAAUGUUCUGCUCUAUAUCUUUUUAAAUAGAAUAACUCUAUAAUAGAGUUAGAUUCUACUCCAAUCAUAUUCUAUUUUAAAAUAAAAAAUAGAAUAAUGAAAAGAUAAAUUAAUUCUUCUAUUUAUUGAAUAAACCUAAUUCAUUCCUUUAGUUACCACAAUUCAUGUUUACUUUCGAACAUUUUCACAAAUGCAUUCUUCAUUAAAGAGGCAAAAAAAUUUUAUGACUGAUUUAUAGAUAUAAAUAUAAAAAAUUAUUUAAAUAAAAAAAUAUUUUAUAGUUUUAUAUUAUACAUUAUCAAAUUUGAAAUUUUGGUAAAUUUUUGCAAAUUUUCUUUUUGAAAUAAGAAAUUUCUUUUAGAAACUAUUUUUAAAAUAAUUUUAAAUUUUUUGGGCAUUUAUUUAUAUAUUUUUUAAAAUCAUAAAGCACACCCCAUAACUCUAAACCUAAGUCUUGAUUAGUUAACCCUAUCUAUUUACCUCUUUAAAAGUGAGGGGGGGGGGGGUAAAUGUGAUUAAUAUAAACUUGAAAAAUAGUAUUAUAAAUAUGGUAGUUUAGUGUUAAAAAGAAUGUGGUAGUUUAAACAAUUUUUCUUGAUCAGUAUAUACCGAAAACUAUUUAAACGUUAACUGCUAUAUUUUCUUUGGUAUUCUAACAAAGAAAAACCAAUACCUAAAUUUAAGUAAUUAGAUUGAACAACGAAAUUUCGUUUCUCAGUCUAAUUUAUGAUUUCUGGUUUCAUUAUGUCAUAAGUCAUAGGCCAGAUUAAUUACAUACCGCAAAUAAAAUGAUCUUUCUGACAUUAAAUAGUUGAUAAAACAAACAAUUUAGAUGUGAAGUGUAAUGGAAUCAUAUCGUCGGUAGAAAGUACACAAUCACAAUGCGUUGUUUGUUGAGUGACUCGAGUCCGAGUCAUCCAUUAUGAAUGUCUACUGGUACACCAACAGUUUCAUUUUGUUUAUUACGAAUAUUUGAUCAUUUUCAAAAAACAUGUGUAAAGUCACAAGAUGAUCAACGUUCAACAAAUAUUAUUGUUGAAUAAACAAAUAUUAUUGUUGAAUAACAAAGUCACAAUAUUUUUGUUUAUGUAGUUUCAUAAAAAAAUAUGUUUGUUUAUGUAACAACUUAUGAAUUUUCUCAACAUCUUUUCUAACAAUAGAAAGUAUUUCAAAUUAAAGCAAACCAAAGUACCACUCAUUUUAACUGAACCACAGAACCAUUUUUUUUUUUUUUGUCAACCACAGAACCAUUUAAUCAGAGACACAAACAAAAACUGGUUUAAUCUAGCUUCUCGGCGGUUUACACAUGAAGCAAGAGUCGUGCAUUGAGGCCCAUUACGUUACCUAUUGCCCAUACGAUUACCAAUUUCGUUACCUAUCCAUUCAUAAUGUUCAUUAUUCAUUCUCAGUCUUCGUCAUACAUGAGCACUUAUUUACGGCUCACUGAGGCCCAAAUAUGAUCAUAAUGUUCAUUAUUCAUUCUCAGUCUUCGUCAUACAUGAGCACUUAUUUACGGCUCACUGAGGCCCAAAUAUGAAGCUACCGCCAACGCCACACGUAAUCCUGGGCCUAUUAUCCGAAACCCUAAAACCAAACGGAAACCGAACCCAAAAUCCGAGACCAAAACCGGAUAAAAAAUUACAAAAACCCGAAUGGUUCUUAUAUUUUUAAAUCCGAAAAACCGAAACCGAACUUAGACCGAACGGGUAUCCGAAUAUUUUGAAUAUAUUGAAAAAAAAUUAUUUUAAUACAUAUAAAAUAAAAUUUAUAAAUAAAAAAUAUCUUAACAAAUCCGAAUAACCCGAAUAACCUGAAUAUUUUUUUGGUUUUUUCCGGGUUUAACUCGGGUUUUUAGGAUUAAUCAGUUUUUUGGAUUUUAAACCCUAACCAAACCCGAAUUAUUUGUAAUACAGUUCCACUUCAGGUUUUAUAAAAAAAAUAGAAAUCUAACCCGAACCGAACCAAUCCGAUGGUUCCUAAACAUUUCAACCCGAAUAACCAAAAAACCGAAUAAACCAAACCGAUCCGAACCAAAAAUCCGAAUGCCCAACGCUAGCCACACGGGUUGUCUUUCCCUUUGUUUUUAAAACCAAGGUUUUGUCUUUCCAAAUUCCUAUAAAUAUCAACCAGCUUACAACAAAAGCAAUAUUCCAACAAGAGAGCUAGAGCAAGAAACUUUAAUAGUCAGACUAGUUCCUCUUUGAGUUUCAUUAGAAUGACGAAGACUGAGAAUUUGCAGUAUCCCUUGACUUGUCCAUCAUCAUUAAUUACCUCCUCCCCAAUAUCAACAUCCAGAACUGUACAUAGAAAGCUUCACCAACCUGGUUACUAGCUAUACAAAGGUGUUCUAUGUCAUCUUGAUUCCCAAGAUUCAACACUAGGUCUGCGAAACGGUAUGGAUUCUAUUUGAACCCUUCAAAUCAAUAACAUUAUGUUUUAUGGUAUAUAGUGAUGUCAAAAAUUAAUUUAGCUACAUAUGUUGUUGGAUAAGCUUGAAUAACUUAGGGAAUAAGUUAACUAUUUCUUACCGAGAUAUGGAUUAAGAAAUAGAUAAGUCCUUGAUAUUUAGGAGUUAUCUAAAUAUCAUAUGUUUAGGAGGAUUAGGACUUUGCGAUUUAUAUAAAUAGAGAUGUCGAGGUGUGGCAUCCUAGUGUGAGUUGUGAGCUUUAGUUUUGAGAGGAUUUUCUAAGGCAUUGAGAUAUUAAUAAGAGAGCAAAUUCUUAUUGAUCUUGUUUGAGUUAUACAUUGAUUCUACACGUGGUAUCAGAGCUUAACCAGAGUUCGAUCACUAACAAUGGGAGACAUAAUACCAGCUUCAACGAAGCUUAAAGAUGGCGGACCUUCCUCCUUUAAAUGUCCUAUGCUAAAUUCGACAAACUACACUGUAUGGGCAAUCAGGAUCAAGGUCUUCCUUAAAUUACAUAAAGUUUGGGAUGUUAUUGAAACAGAGUCUGAUGACUCUGAGAAGAACAACGUGGCGAUAGCAGUGCUCUUCCAAUCCAUACCCGAAACGCUUAUAUUACAGGUGGGAGACUUAGACACCGCAAAGAAGAUUUGGGAAGCAGUGAAAUCAAGACACAUGGGGGCAGAAAGAGUUCGCGAAGCUCGACUUCAAACUCUCAUGUCAGAGUUCGAUAGGUUAAGAAUGAAAGAUGAUGAGAAAAUAGAUGAUUUUGUGGGAAGGAUAGCAGAAAUCUCGUCUAAAUCAGCCGCUCUUGGAGAAACCGUUGAAGAAACAAAAUUAGUAAAGAAAUUUCUUUCAAGUCUUCCCCGGAGAAAAUACAUACACAUCGUAGCCUCUUUGGAACAGGUUCUUGACCUCAAGACUACAAGCUUUGAGGAGAUUAUCGGACGUAUUAAGACGUUUGAAGAACGUGUGUCUAUGGAAGAAGAAGAAGCACCAGACAAUCAAAAACUUAUGUACGCAAACUCAGAUGCUCUUUCUACGAACCAAGACUCAAAUGGUUCUUAUCGUGGUCGUGGACGUGGAGGAAGGUACUACAACAGAGGUAGAGGAAGAGGUCGAUACAAUGGAGGAUAUAAUGGACGUCACAAUGAUCGAUACUACAGCGACAUCGACCUAUCCAAGAUUACGUGUUUCCACUGUGAUAAGACCGGGCAUUAUGCGUCUACAUGUCCUGAUCGUUUGUUGAAAUUACAAGAAGCAACAGAGAUUAAAGAGAAGGAGACUGAUACAACAGAGGCAGAAGAGCUAAUGGUACACGAAGUCGUUUACUUGAAUGAAAAGAAUGUCAAACCAAGAGAUCUCGAGAGCGAUUCUGAUAAUGUUUGGUACUUAGACAACGGCGCAAGUAACCACAUGACCGGAAACAGGAGUUACUUCAAGACCAUGAAUGAAUCAAUCACAGGAAAGGUGCGAUUUGGAGACGACUCUCGUAUAGAUAUAAAGGGAAAAGGAUCAAUCCUGUUCUGUAGCAAGGAUGGAACAAAGAAGGUACUAGCAGACGUCUACUACAUACCGGACCUGAGGAGCAAUAUAAUCAGUCUAGGCCAAGCCACAGAAUCCGGCUGUGAAGUAAAGAUGAGGAAGGAUUACCUUACAUUGUGUGAUAAAGAUGGAAAGCUCAUAGCUAAAGCAAAGAGGUCUAGAAAUCGAUUUUAUAAAGUUCUUAUAAAUAUUAUUGAUCCGGUGUGUCUGCAGGCUAAGGUUUUGACUGAAUCUACUCGAUGGCAUGCACGCCUUGGUCACAUAGGAAAGGAAGCUACGAAGAAGAUGAUCAAGAAGGACUUAGUUUACGGGAUACCUAACGUUGAGGUAGAAAAGGAUACUUGUACAUCAUGUAUGCUUGGGAAACAAGCAAGGCUUCCAUUUCCACAAGCAAGCGCUUAUCGAGCUGAGAAGAUACUAGACUUGGUUCAUGGGGACCUAUGUGGUCCCAUAUCACCUCAAACCCCGUCUGCUAAGAGGUAUAUUUUCGUGCUUAUAGACGACUGUUCUCGUUACAUGUGGUCGAUCCUUCUAAAGGAGAAAGGAGAAGCGUUUGAGAAAUUCAAGAUUUUUAAAGCAGUGGUAGAGAAGGAAACAGGAACCACUAUCAAGACGUUUAGGACUGAUCGUGGAGGAGAGUUCAUCUCGAGUGAAUUUAAUCUAUACUGUGAGACCGCAGGUAUUGUAAGGCAUCUAACAGCUCCUUACUCUCCACAACAAAACGGAGUGGUGGAGCGACGCAACAGGACUCUAAUGGGAAUGACUAGAAGCAUACUAAAGGCGAUGGAAUGUCCUAAUUAUCUUUGGGGUGAGGCUGUGCGGCAUAGUACCUACCUUAUCAACCGAGGAGCAACACGAGUACUUGAGUCUAAAACUCCAUAUGAAGCGCUAAAGGAAAAAAAACCAACAGUUAAUCACUUAGGAAUAUUUGGGUGCAUAUGCUACGCUAAAGUUGAAGGUCCAUACCUCAAGAAGCUUGACAAUCGCUCUCGUAUGCUUGUUCACCUCGGGACAGAACCAGGCUCAAAAGCCUAUAGGUUAUACGAUCCUAGCACUCGAAGGAUAAUAGUAAGCAGAGACGUAGUCUUUGACGAAACCAAGAUGUGGAACUGGAAACACAGCUCAGAAGAGACUGGAGGCAGCUUCAAUAUUAUUCAUGAUAUGUUUGGAAACAGAGGAAUAAAAGAAGUCGAGAUAGAAGGGACAGACAGCAGCAAUGCUAUUGUUGUAAGUGAUCAAAGUGCAGAAACUCCGAAUCUUGAAGCAGAUGAGGAUCAAGAUGAGGAUGAAGAUGGAGAAUCUGCACUUAGAAGGUCCACAAGAGACAGAAGAAGACCAGCCUACCUAGACGAUUAUAUACUCCUAGCUGAGCUUGAUGGUGAGCGUCUUCUUCUUACUAUGAAUGAUGAACCUUGGGACUACAAUGACGCAAAGGGUAAGAAGGUAUGGUGUGAUGCAUGUGAUGAUGAGAUUGCUUCGAUUAUUAAGAACAAAGCUUGGGAGCUUGUUGAUCUUCCCAUUGGAGCAAAAGCUAUUGGCUUAAAAUGGGUGUUCAAGGUUAAGAGAAACUCAGAUGGUAGUAUUAACAAAUACAAAGCUAGACUAGUGGUGAAAGGUUACAUACAGAGGCAUGGGAUUGACUUCGACGAAGUCUUUGCUCCGGUAGCUCGCAUUGAAACAGUGAGGUUUCUAGUAGCAUUGGCGGCUUCAAGAGGUUGGCAGAUUCACCAUUUAGACGUGAAAACGGCGUUUCUUCAUGGUGACUUAAAGGAGGAGGUAUUUGUCAGUCAACCACAAGGUUAUGAGCUUAAGGGACAAGAAGGCAAGGUAUACAAGUUGAGAAAGGCGCUCUAUGGCUUACGACAAGCACCGCGUGCGUGGAAUGAGAAACUUAAAGUGUGCUUGGGAGUUUAGGCUUCUUGAAGUGUUCUAAAGAGCCUGCACUUUACCAGAAGAUGGAGAAAGAACACGCCCUUCUAGUAGCCGUCUAUGUGGACGAUUUACUGAUAACUGGUACAAGUCUGGAGCUCAUAAACGAGUUCAAAAAUGGAAUGGCAGAGAACUUUGAGAUGAGCGAUCUUGGUAAACUCACGUUCUAUCUAGGUAUUGAGGUGGAUCAACGUCAAGAUGGAAUUACUAUGAGACAGGAGAGGUAUGCCAUGAAGAUACUAUCUGAGUCUGGGAUGAAAGACUGCAAUUCAGUACAUGUGCCGAUGGAUCCAGGCUUGAGUUUGUCUAAGUCAGUAGAAGAACAGAGUGUGAACGAGAAGGAAUACAGGCGGAACAUAGGUUGCCUCAGGUACUUGCUACACACGCGACCAGAUCUUUCUUAUGUUGUUGGAGUUUUGAGCAGGUAUAUGCAAUCGCCUAAGAUAUCUCAUGAAGCUGCAUUGAAGGUUGUGUUGCGUUAUCUGCAAGGAACAUUGACGUAUGGUCUCAAUUUUAAAUGUUCAAGCAAUGAAGGAAUCGUAGGAUACAGUGAUGCAUCUCACAAUGUUGAUGAAGAUGACGGAAGAAGUACGAGUGGUCAUGUGUUCUACUACGCUGAAUGUCCGAUAACAUGGAGCUCACAUAAACAAGAAACAGUGGCUCUGUCCUCUUGCGAAGCUGAGUUUAUGGCAGCUACUGAUGCAGCUAAGCAAGCCAUUUGGCUUAAGGAUCUUUUGGGAGAAAUAACAGGAGCAGAAGGUAUGAAGGUGCCGAUCAUGAUUGAUAACAAAUCGGCCAUAGCGCUGACCAAGAACCCAGUGUUUCACGGCCGCAGUAAACACAUUCAUCGUCGCUAUCAUUUCAUUCGUGAAUGUGUUGAUAGUGAGUUGAUAGAAGUAUAUCACAUUGCCGGAGUUAGGCAAAGAGCAGAUAUAUUAACCAAAGCGUUAGGGAAGCUGAAGUUCAAGGAAAUGAGAGAGAUCAUAGGAGUUGAAGAUGUAUCAAGCUUAAGGGGGAGAUUGUUGGAUAAGCUUGAAUAACUUAGGGAAUAAGUUAACUAUUUCUUACCGAGAUAUGGAUUAAGAAAUAGAUAAGUCCUUGAUAUUUAGGAGUUAUCUAAAUAUCAUAUGUUUAGGAGGAUUAGGACUUUGCGAUUUAUAUAAAUAGAGAUGUCGAGGUGUGGCAUCCUAGUGUGAGUUGUGAGCUUUAGUUUUGAGAGGAUUUUCUAAGGCAUUGAGAUAUUAAUAAGAGAGCAAAUUCUUAUUGAUCUUGUUUGAGUUAUACAUUGAUUCUACAUAUGUUACCAAAAUUCAUUUAUCUUUUCAGUCAUAUAUCCAUAAAGAGCUAUAAGAUGAAUUGUGUUUAAACUGGGAUAGUGAAAAGAUGGAUAACUUGCUGAAAAGUAAUUUGUGAUAUCAAUUAUGAAAUCAUCGUAGGAUUAUUAAACAAGUCUUUCGAGAUAGGGUGGAUCCAGAUGCCUAGAAAGAGCAUCUGGCACACGAGAGGGGAGGCAUACAUGGGCGUUACAUAUCCGUUUUGAUUCUUCCCUUUUCUUGUUCAUCAAUUUUCUUUGAAUUUCCAUGUAAAAUAGAGUUACAAUUUUUGAUAUACUAAUCCUUUUUUUCUCUUGAUUGUUUUUGUGCAGUGAUAUGGUAUGGUAAAGAGGGGAGGAAUAACAACGGAUUUUAGAUUCCGUUUUCUAAUGACGUUCACAGUUACCUUGUCUCCAAGACGACUCAAAUACGUCUAUAGAGAUAAAGAUAACUAUUUAUAUUGUAAUUAUCUAUAGUUAUCUUUAUCUCUAAUUUAUGUCCUUAUCUCCUCUAUAACUUCUACUUGUGUUAAUGUGUAUCAGUUUCAUUCUUGUUUGUGCUUUCGUUUUCUAAACAAAUCAUACUUUCCAUUUUAUUAUGUGCCGUCAACUUUUGAAGAAAAUAAUAGUCACUCUUCCAUCGAGCUUUAGGAGUUGUGGUUAUCAUUACGGUUAUGGUAGCUUAGCAAGAGAAGCUACGAUCAGUAAAAUUCUCCUGAUACCAUGAAACCACCACUCCCACUAAUGUCCUCAUAGUACGUUCAUAACGGUGCAAAGACACGCCAGAAAGUUCCAUUAUUAAUAUCCAGCAAACCACAAGCUGCUACUACAGAUGAUUCUGAUGCUGAGGGACCUGUCGAUGAUGGAUCACAGAUCGCUCUACCACAAUAUUUCGGUUCAGAUUUCUACCAUGAUCCUUGUUUUAUGCCUUGUGAUGAGCGAAAUCAUCAUCAAGCUCCUACAAACACUACCUCCAAGCUGGUGUUUGCUCCUAAAUUUUUCUUUACCACUUUUUUGCCGGGAAUAUAUUCAUAUCACACACUCUCUUUUACAUUACAUGAUGUCACUUUAAUACAGAGAGCAUCGCACUAAUUUUACUUGUUUUUUUUUCUUCUUUCUAGAUGGAUGAAGGAUUCAAUUUUGAGACAUUGACUGAGAACAUCAUCAUGCAUUACGGGUUAUGGGGUAAUCUUCAAGGAAGCAACAAAAAUAAUAAAGGGCAUCCUAAUACUAUUGAUGGAUCUUUUUACCGGAUUUCGCACAAUCCAUUUGAUCCUAUCGGAAGACCUUGCAAUGCGUUUGGCCCUACCGAGCGACCCUUCCCACACCUUCCCUCUAGUCAUGAACUGGCAGAUUUGUGCUUUGUGUUAAAAUGGUAUCGCUGUGGCACAUAUCAUUGACGAGUUCAUGUGUGAUUUUGUCUCAUGAAUUUUUUUCUUCUAGAAAAUGUUGUUUCUGUUAGUGCAGAUGAGGCUACAAAAAAAACAAGUGCAGAAAGUAAAACACACAAAAUUUAUUAACGGGGUUCGUUUCCUACAUCUCCGUGACCUCGUCCAUAUUUCACUGAAUUAGAACAAGAAGUAACCUACAAUUGUUAUAUGGUACAACACACACUAGUGUUUACAUUCUUUUCUAAGUAAGUACUUUAUGAAAAUAGGAACCAAACACACAUGCAUAGAUCACUAUCUGGCUCACCGAAGCUCUCUGUUUUCUACAGAUGCAAUCUUCACAGACCACCACAAUGAAACUGCAUGUGCUAAACUCCACCUUGAGUCUAAAUCUUCCACAUUUCAGAAAUACUUCACCUAAGUACGUCACCACCAACGCACACCAGUGACACAAAACGCUUGAUCCCCCAAGCAUACACGAAGUUCACCACGAGUUACACACGAUGGCUAAUUUUACCACACAAAGCGUCAACUCUAACGUCACCAAACUAAGUCCACAUCAGACUCCAUCAAAACUACUUCACAUUGCUUCAACACCAAGCAAUAACAAACACCAAAGAAACUUCUCUCUCUUCUCUAAGGUCUGGUUUUCUGAUAAGGCACGUCCUUCCUUAUAUAUCAGACCAGAACUUGUUUUCCACGUCUUGAACUUGCUCUUCAAGUUUCUAAAUACUCUUUAAGCAAAAUUCCUUUUCCAUUUAAGCAAUUUUCCUUUUCUUGUAAAGGUAAACCUUCUCUCCAAACAAAAUCUUUUUGCUUAAUGGAAAACGCUAUUUUGUCUUGAAGCACACAUUUCUUUCCUUUUUCACGCUUAGAAAGCCAAUGCACAUCACAAAACCCGUACUCCAGUAUAGCCCAGUACUACCGAUCCUGUUCGUGAACUGGUACAAGUCAUAUUUCUGUAGAAACACUUAAAUUCUACGAGAAUACGUAGCAAAAUCAUGUUUAUCUAAUUAUCCAUGUACAUAUGUAUAUUUAAACCAUAGUAUAUUUACUUAUAUAAGUAAAGAAGGAGAGAGCCGGUACGUAGAGAAACAGAAAGAAACAAUCAGACGAAGAGCGCAAGAACAUGAUGCCCUUGAAUAGAAUAUUUUAUACGUUGCAGAAAAUGUAAAUCUAAAUCGGAUAGAGAAACAUUACAAAUCAUGUUUAUCUUUUAAGGAAAUAUAACAUAUAUUUCAAUUUCUUCUUUCCUAUAUAUCAGCUUAGAAAAUCCUUAUAUUUCAAAUUUGACAAUACUGCAAACAAGAAGCGAGGUACAGGAGGAGAAAAAAAACCCUAACCAGACUUAAAGACUCUUCGUCUUUCUUAAAUUUCACUUUAGUUUGGUCGGAAUGAUGGCGACAGAUAAUUUCCAGCGUAUCUCGUCAUUGUCAUCAUCUUUACGGAAACCACAGCCACAAAAUCCACAUCCCGUCGAUUACAUUGGAAGCUUUAUGACACUGGUCUCUAAAUACGGUUUACGAUACCAAGGCUUUCUCUAUCAUCUCAAUCACGAUGAAAAGACUCUAUGUCUUAUAAACGGUACGAUCUGAAACCGAUCUGUUUGAGAUUUAAAUAACCUGAUAUGUAGUUUUCGUUUAGUUUACAGAGAAUAUUUCGAUGAAGUAAUUGUUUUUUUUUUAAUGUUGUUUUGAUGUUUGUGCAGUGAUAUGUUACGGCACGGAGGGCAGGAACCUUAUCGGGUUUCAUAUUCCACCUUCUUAUGAACUUUAUAGUUACAUUGUUUUCACCACAACUCAGAUAAAGGCAAGUAUGUGCGUUAACUUAUGUACGUAUCAUCAAUUUAAUAUUCUUUCUAAUUUGAUGCUUUCUUGGCUAAACUCGUUCCUCAUUUUUUUGGUAAUUCAUUUUUGCAGAAUGUAGUAGUUGAUUCUCCAGCGAGCUUAGCACGAGGACUAGGUAGUAAGAUUUAUCGUCCCCCAAAACCACCACUCCCAUAUGUAUACUCGUCAUACAAUCAAGACGGUGCUAAGAUACGCCAAAAAGUUCCAUUAUUAAUUUCCAAUGAAAAGCUCAGCAAAACGGAAGCUAUUUAUGAUUAUGAUGCUUCUUUAAGUAUGGGAUCAGUCAAUGAUGGAUUACAAAUUGCUUGUAAACCUCUUGCUUUACAGCAAUAUCCCGGUUCAAAUUACUAUGAUCCUUGGUUGAACCAUCUUUACCAACCUGUGCCUUGGGCUCCACUAUAUCAAGAUCCUGCAUAUGCUGCACCGUCAUCGAUUGCUUCUCAAAGUUUCUUUACCACUUAUCCAUCUGUUCCAUUUUCUCUUGGGCAGGUAAUAUAUAUCAUCAUUCUCUCUUUGUUACAUAUAUCUGCAUUUUAUUAUGUAUGUCACUUUACUUGCUUUGUUUUGGUUAUAGGGUAAUGGAGGGUUUGAUUUUGAAGCAUUGACUGAGAACUUCGAGCCGUACAAGCUAUGGGGUCCUGAAGAAGACAACAAGCAAGAAGAUCAAACUUCUUAUACUGUUGAUGGAUCUUCUUAUCAGAACGAGACAUGGAAUUAUCAAGGAAACAACAAGCAAGAAGAUCAAGGUGCUUAUAGUGAUGAUGGAUCUUCUUAUCUGAACGAGAUUUUGAAUUAUCUAGUAAACAACAAUCAAGAAGAUCAAACUGCUUAUACUAUUGAUGAAUCUUCUUACAUGAACUCGCGCAAGCCGUUUGAUCCUAUCGGGAUACCUUGGAAUCCGUUUGGCCCUAUCGAGCGAUCCUUCUCAUAUCUUCCCUCUAGUCAUGAACUGGCAGAUUUGGGAUUUGUGUAAAAUCUAAAUUUCAAAAAGGAGUGGGUGGCACAUAUCAUUGACAAGUUCAAGUUCAUGUGUGUUUCUUCUGUCUAACUAACUUGCCUUUUGUUACUUAUGAAUUUUCGAAUCUCACUUUUAUUGAAACAUGAAUUAAAAAAAACUCAUUUAAAAUUUAGUGUUAUUGAACUUAACAUUUUUUAAAGUAUUCUGUAAUCCACUGUUAUUGAAAAUAUUUUAAUUUGUGGAAUUUUAAAUUUUUCAAGUGAUUUUAGAGUGUUUGGAUAGAGUUUUUUAUUUAAAAAAAUUAAACUCAAAUCUCAUGGUUUUAGGUGAUAUUCAUGAAUGGUUUAACAAAAAUCAUUUUAUUCUCUGCAAUUCCUUAAAAUCAUCUAAAACCUAAUGAGAAAUCAAAUCACUUCAAAUUUUAGAUUGAAUACACCAUCUAAAAGUCCUUGAAGUUUUUCUACUUCUAUAUUUUGUUUUUAAUUCCCUUUUGGACUUUGACAUAAAUCUGACAAGGUCAACUAUGGUUGACUUAGAUAUUAGUGCAUGGUGAUGUAUGCAUCUUGAAGUUUUCUUUUCAUUAUCAAUGUUGUACAUUACCUUAGACUGGUCAGAGUUAUGUGGAGCAUUAAUAGUAGCUUGUAAGGUUAUGAUUGGUUAAAAUCUUCUUAAUUGCAUGUCAUAAAUUGAUUAGAUAAAGCAAAUAAAAUAUCAUAAUGUAAGACAAAAAUAGGAUAUAUGGCAAUUAUUUUACCAGGACAUAAUCAAAAGAACAGUGGGUAAAGUAGGGAUUAGUAAUCUUGUAACCAGGACAUAUUUUCUUUUGGUUACUGUCUUGUGGUUUUGGAACACACCUACGUUUCCACUGAUCUGAGCAAGAGAGAAGCGAAUAACAGCGGCUGUUCCGAGCACAAACGCAUGGCUUCCUAGUACAUAGCAGUUCCUUUAUGUGUCCCAUCGAAUAUCUUCUUUCUGGGCAGAAGGUUGUGCAAUGUGCAUAGUUUCAAUGAAUUCUGUGCCUUUGUUAGAUUCGGUUCCUUCUGAAUGGAAAAAAUCAAUCGGACGCAAGUACAUAUGUGUAUAAUUCUACAACACACAGUAAAGGUUCAAUCUUUUUGUCAACUAAAUAAGAGAAAAGCUUCGAACAAAAGAAACAAAAUAAGAGUGGGAAAAAGCCAUAAAGGAUAGUGUUCUUAACUUUUUGUUAUUUGAGGCAGCUUCUCAGAGAAAUUUUCUUUGUCAGCUAUAUAUUAAAUAUAUAUAUAUAUAUAUAUAUGAAAAACCUGGAGAAUAAAUUAUAAUAUAAAUGGAUAAUAUUUUUAAAGAUUCUAAGGAAACAGAUUUGAGUAAAAGGGAGGUCGGUGUAAAUUAUUUGGCCUUCAUAAACAGAACAAAAGCAAAGUAUUGAUUAACUUAAAACAUUUUGUAUUUUGUAUUUUUUUUUUUUUAAAAAAGGGAAGUUAAUUUUUUUUAAUCCAUCUAUCGUAUCUUUACUCUCUUACUAUUUAUUUUAUCAAAUAAAUUUUCUGAAAAAAAAAAUCUAACAUCUAUCUAUCUAUACUAUUAUUUACGAAGUAAAUUUUUGGAAUCGAGCUCUCAUAUUAAAAGUUAGAGUGGUUAAUAUCGUUUUUACCAUUAAUGAAUAAAUAAAAUGUAUAAAUAAAUUAAAAAAUAAAAACGAAAUUUUAAUUUAUUUGAUUAGAUAAUUGAUUAAAAUUAAUAAUAGUAAAAAUUAUCCAAAAUCUAAAAAUAUAAUUUUAAAAAGAGAUAAUUUUUGUAUAUAUAGUAUUGUUAUCUGAAAAAGUUUUUUAGUGAAAAGUUAAAAACAUAAUUAUAUAUCUAAAUAUUAAUCAAAUAAAAUUCUUAAUUAUAUAGUUAAAAAUAGAAUAUUGAAUUUUUCAAAAUCUAAAAAUAUAAUUAAAAAAAGAAGAUUAUUUCUAUACAUAUAUAUUGUAUUGUUAUCUGAAAAUUUUUUUUAGUAAAAAGUUAAAAAAACAUAAAUUAUAUAAUUAAAAAUAGAAUAUUGAAUUAUUUUAAAAUUUAUUUUAGUGUAAUGAAUAUAGCGUACAAAGAACUUUUUAAAAAUUUAUGAAUAGUUUAAGCCCGCAUCGCGGGCAAGCACCUAGUUCCCAAUUAUUCAGAAUGAAUGGAAUUAUUGUCACUAUUCUUUACCAGAAAUAAACUUUUCCAGAUUUAAAUUGUACUCUAAUAAAAACAUAAGUUUAUUAAAAAAUUAUUAAGAAAGCAUAUUAUUUUUUUUUUAAUAUGAAAAACUUAAGUCUAGUAUAAACGAGACUUCACUUCUUUUUAAGAGCCCCAACAACAUUAAGUCCAAUACAAUAAGCAAUUGACUGAACGGUGACCAUCGGAUUAACCCCUAAAGCCGUCGGAAAAACACUUGUAUCCGCCACAAAUAGGCCUUCGACCUCCCAAGUCUCUCCCAUUGGCCUCACCGCAGAUUCUUCGGGUCUUAUCCCCAUCCUACAACUUCCCAUUUGAUGAGCUGAACAUAUCUGUCCAGACAAAUCCUUCAAGCUCUUUGAACUCUCUUCUCUCACAAACCUCUCAAUCUCUACCGCACUCGCUGUUCUAACGUUCAAACUCUUACCUUUUGAGUUAUGUGUCCCGAUCUCCUCAGCUCCAGCCGCUAUCAAAAUGUUCAAGACACUCUCAAGACCUUUCUUUAGACUCUCUUCGUCUUCAUCGUUUAAGUUGUAGUCGAUGUAACUCUUUGAGUUGAUUGUUCCGGUUCCUUUAUCUCUCAAAAGCGUGAAAACGUGUGCGGUUCUUGAGAAUUUGAGCAUUCGGGUUUUGAAAUCAUUGCUUGACGUCCAAGGAAUGACCCCUGAGAACAUCCCUGGAUGAAGAGAAGGCGUUUGGAUCACCGUUUCACCAUAAGUAGUCUUUGCUUCUGCGUUUAAAACGCUAGACAUUGCUGUCAUUAUCCCUCCCUCGUAGCUCUUUUUCUUCUUCUCUGGCCACUUCUCCUCCUCAGGGAACCAUCCCCAAGCCAUAACAACUGGAUGUAAACAAAGGUUUCUCCCAAUGUUACCAUUCUUCAAACCGCUGCGUUUCAACAAAUGAGGUGUUCUAAGCGCACCGCAGGCCACUACCGUGGCCCUAGACUCCACCACAUAGAUGUCUUCCCCAAACGCAAACGCAAUUCCAGUAGAGGUCUUCUUCUUGUUCCCGCCUUCACACUCGUACAAGACUUCCAUCGCUUUGCAACCUGGAAGGAUCGAACCAUUACCAGAUUCCACUAAAUCUACAAGCCAAGUCUCUGAAGUCCCCUGCUUUUGACCUUUCUUGCAUCCCAAGGAACAAAACCCACAGUAAUGAUCCUUUGAAGCAUUCCUCGGAAUAUUCUUCACUUUUAACCCUAGUUCUUCACAACCUUUCCUCAAUACCUCAUUAUUAAACCCUUCUUCCACAAAUCCGCAUUGAACACCCAUUCUCUCACACACAACAUCCAUUGCCUCUCUAUACAAAUCGCUUUCAAACAACUCGAGUUCUGACUUUUCAGCCCAUUCCUUCAUCACGUGUUCCGGUGUCUUGAUCGAGGCCGACCAGUUAAUGGUUGAACCGCCUCCGACAGUGGACCCGGCGAGAAUCACUACGUUCAUAUCGGAAGUUGCUAGUAACCCACCGGAUAAGUACAUCUCAUCCAUUGCUUGCCCCUCAAGUUGAGAGAGAUUGCUUCUUGCAUAGUAGUUUCCUUUCUCCACCACCAAAACUUUAAAACCCGCCUUGGCUAAAAGUCCGGCCACUACUCCUCCGCCGGAUCCAGACCCAACCACCACGGCAUCACACCGGAUUGUCAUCACUGGGUUAGAAAUAGAUGAUCUGUUGUUAUUGCUCUUUUGAGUUGAUACUGUGAAGCCAUGAUCUGUUAACUUCUUUGUCACGGCUUCUCUAGGCUUUUUGAGAUUGAUGAUGCCAUUGUAUAGUGGUCCAAAGAUCUCCUUAGGCAUCUCUUUGUUAGUCUUCGUCUCAUUUAAUUCUUCUUCAUGAUCACUAUGAUCUGAGCUGGGUCCAUUGUAUCCUAUUGCUUUCCACGCCAAGUUCUUUCCUUUUUCAUCCACCUGAAAAUUAUUAAAUUAUUUAAAAUAAUUAAUCUUUGUAAUAUCAAGCUGUCAAUUUUUUUUUGGUUGAUAUACAUGGGCUUCAACCUACAAUCCAAUUUUAAUGUCCGGUUAUAUAUUCCCUCAGUAUUUUUUUCUUUUCUUUUUAAAUUUGAUUUAUUUAAGAAGACCACAAAGAUUAGUUUUUAUAAAUUUCUAUACAAAUUAACGUUUCUCAAUACGAAAUCACGUGAAUGGAAAGCAAGUUUAAACUUAAUAUUGCUUAACUUUUAAAAAGUGUUUAAAAUUAUAAAGACAAAACUUAAAGAAAGAUAAGGAGCAUAAAUGUAUAUGUAAAAGAUAAGGAAUGAAAAAAUCUAAUGUUUUGCAUGGGGUUAAAUGUUUACCUGGGUAAAGAAGACAAGGGCAGUGAUAAGUUUGAUGGACCUAAAGAACAUUCUUAGGAGUAAGAAAUAGCUUGAAGCCCAAUUGAGCAAUGUCUCUUCUCUCUGUUUCUUUGGCAGCCGGCAGAAUCUCUGGAAGAAUGGAAAGCCGCCGAUGAAACUUCUCCGACCACACAAGACGAGACUUCCAAUCCAUGUGGAGAGUGACCACAGUCCAACUCUUAAAAUCCACUUCCUUGGGUGGUGAAGUCUCUGACUCAUUAACCUCGCCACCUAUUAUUGUGAAUUUAUGACAUAAUAAAAAACGCAAAUAAAACUAACCAAGAUAAUACAAAUCAAUGAUUAAAUAAUAUUUAAGUCUGUUUAACCUAUAUUAGUUUUCAUAUUGUUAUUAUAAAGCUAGUAUUUGUCUGAAAUUGGACCCAAAUGUUUUGGUGUCCACGUUUUACAGUUUUGGCCAUCGUAUGACAAGAAAAAGAGACAUUUGUAUCAGCUAUCGUAGUGAUAUUAAUACCAUAUAGUAUAUAACCAUAAUAAUAAGUAUAAGCAACCAAUAAGUGGUUGCGAAAUGAAAAUAACGUAUGUGACAAUCAAUUUUGAGAUAUAUUUUGCAUACGUGACGAUCGACGGAUUUUAGUUGUACUCGAAACCUGUCGGCUCUAUAUUUCACUAAGAGUACUGACUUUUUGUUCUCUUCUUAAGUGAUGAUUCUUUUAUUUCAGGGAUGAAAGGACUGAAUCACAUGCAUGCAACAAUAUCUAUGUUGUUACAAAAUAAUGUCAUGCUUUAUUAAAGAAAUUAAUAAAACAUAUACAUAUUUAAUUGCUAAAAAUUCAUCUAGUUCAGUUAUCGAUAGUUUAAGCAGUGAAACUGUGGUUUCAACGUUGUCAAAACCAGCUGUGAAUAAUGAGAAAGAAAAGGUUCUGCGUCUUGUUCUACAACUUUUUUUAAAAUGAUCCUGAACCAAGAAAGACUACAAACUUAAUUAAGUUGUGUCGUCUAUUAAUCAUUUAAGUUGUUUCUAUAUUAAAGAACUGUCAAUUUAUUGGUUUGUUACUUUAAACUUAAGAAAUACAAAAGCCAAAUUAAGUUCAGUGGAUGUAAAAAUUCCAGCAACCAAUGGUUUCAAAUUAUAUAGUUUCAAAAUUCAAAUCACUCACAAAAAUAGGUUAUAUUCUCUUUUGUUUGUAAAAAAAAGGUUAGCUAUAAAUAUAUUCAAAUGCAUGUAACAUAUAUAGUUGAGGAAGCAUAUAUUUAUAUAUUUACAGAGUGAAAUGGAUAGGUAGAUAUAGAAAGAUUGUCUUUAAUUACAUGAUCAAGCAUGUGUAUAACAUAUAUAAAUGAACGUAAAUGCAUGUUUGUAUAUAUACACACUUACACGGUCGGGAGUUCCAGUAUGAGAAGCAGAGGCGGAGUAGUAUCCAGCGACGCCGUCAUCCAGGUGUCCUACUUCAGCGCCGUCGAUAGAUGGUAUUAGAGUAUCGCAGAUCGCAACCAGAGAUUCCAUCUCACGCGCCGUCAGUGAGUUCGCAUAAAGCGUUUUCGUUUCAUCUUGCUGCCGGGGACUUCCAAAUUCGACGUCAAGUUUUGCUUCCGUCGAAUCUUUAUGAAGACUGCUUUUGUUUUGAUAUUCCAUUAACUCAAGAAUGGUUUUUGUUAUUGUGACUGGUAAAGAAUGUGUUUUAUGUGUUUAUAUAGAUGGACAAUGGCUAAUUAUACAUGCACAUUUAUUAAAUAAAAUAUAUACAAAUGGAAUGUGUAGUAUUUGGACAAGUCAGUUAUGCGUGAACCAUAUCAAAUUUGGUACCAGCAGGAAAAUUCGGAUACCGGCAAGAACACAGGAUUGGUCCCAACUAUUCACCAAACUAUUCUAUUAGCACAGUGUCUUCUUACGAUUGAUAUAUAUGUUUUCUGUAAAAAUAAUUGAGUUGUGUAUUUUUAUCGACCAUCUUGGUAUAUUAUCUCAGAGAUUUGUAAAUUAUACACUAAGAGGUACAUCCAUCUCAUAUGAAAAAUAAUUAAAACUCAAUGAAAAGUCAACUCAUAGAAAAAGCAACCAUAACCUUUUAAAGGAAUGGAUUGCAUAACCUUUUAAAGGAAUGGGACUGAUCUCAUAACACAUUUGUUUGAUACAAACCAAAUUGGGGUAAUAUAUAUACGUAUAAUUAUUUGUGUAUGUAUCGCAAAUCUACUCCAGAUAAAUGACAAUGAGAGGAUGAGGAUUAGCCAAUAUAAUUAUGAUGAAAUAUUUUUCUUCAAAAAGGAAAAGAUAUAUGAGUAUAUUUAUUAUUUUAUUUUGUUCAGAGCUUUUAUAAUCAAGGCUAUGAAUGGUUUAAAUGUUUCCAUUAUACUAGUUACAGGCUAAAUAGUUUAUUCACGACGCGUAGAAGUAGUUCCAGUGACGUAACUAUUUGUGUUGCAAUAUGAAGUGAUCAUCUCGGUUUUUUUUUUUUUUUGAAACAUCAUUUCAUGGUUUUAAAACAUUGUUUGCAAUACUCAAUUAAAAGUCAACAAUUUUACAAAUAUUUUGACCUCCACGUUUGAUGACAAAAAGCUGAUUCUAAUGAUGAAUAAACGUCUUAAAUUUUUUUGAUAUUACGUUGGAAGCCCUCGAGGCUGAAUCAUACAUGUGAAUGCUGCUAGAUAUGUGACUCAAAAUAAAAGAAGUAAUGAUAAAGCAUAAUUUUGAAUGAUUAGGAGUAUUUGGUAAUAAUGCUAAAACAAAUUGACAAUGUUCAUAAAUAUGAUAGAAUCAAUAAAAGUCCAGAGAUCAAGAAAGGACCCAAGGACUGCAUGAUAUGAGUAUCAAACUGGACCCAAUGAAAAAAAAAACAAAAGAAUUGAAUGUCGAAGACAGUACAGUUAACAAUACCUGUCCUCCAUAAUUGUAUCAUUCAUUAAGCUUCUGAUUUUCUCCCAGAUUUAGAGUUUAUUUUCCCUCUUUUAUGUAAACUAAUACGUGCAUUGAUAUCAUCGAUUGUCCAAUGCAAGUUGACGUUGGGGUAGAUGGAAUUUAAUAGAAAUGUAGUGUUUCGUUCUUCAUAUAUUAUUAUUUAUUAGGUGAUAACAUGCGCCUUGCGCAGGAUGAAUAGAUUUAAAAAUAUAAUCACUUUAAAUAUGUUGAUAUUAAAGUUAUAGGAAGAAAUAUUACAUGUUAUAAAAUAUGGGUUUAAACGAAAUUUAGUAUGUCAAUACAAAUUCUGUUUUUUUUUAAACUUGUAUAUUUGUUUUGUUUAAUUGAAAUAUUUUAUCAUGCAAGUAAAUCAAUAAGAAUAAAUAAAUAUUAAUAUAAAAUAAAUUAUGAAAUGACAAUUUGAAAUUCUUUGUAUGGAGUAAAUGGAUAAAAAAAAUACUGACUUUCAAAUGAAGUAAGCUAUCCAUGUUAAAAGUAAAUAAUUAAACUAAUGUUAAUAUAUCGAGCUCUUUAACUAAGUGGUUUAACACAAAUUGUUCAUGUGAUGCCUAAGCUUUAGCUUAGUAUGAUAUAUAUACACAAAAUAUGAUGUUUAAACACAUUUUAUUUUGGUGAAAUGAAUAUAUUUUCAGCAUAAUUCAAUCAUAAAAUUCUUGAUUUCUCCUUUCCAAAUUUUAAUUUUUGGAAAGUAUUAUAUGCAAGGAAAAAAAUAUGAAACAAUAUAUUAAUCAUGAUAUUUGACCAUAAACUUAAUCAUUUCAAAAUUUUAAAUUGACUCAUAAUUUAUCUAUUACCAUUUAUGAUGAUUUUCUAAUUACAAAGUUAAAUGUGUGAUUAGAAUUAGUGAUUACAAUUUCAAAUAUUCACUUUCCAAUCAUCCAUGUUGAAAGUGAUUUUUUUUUAUGGAAUAUUUGAAAUAUUGAUUAUUAAAAAUGUUUAAAAAUGUUUUUUUAAUAUUAGUUUCCAUUCAUUAUUGAUUUCUUAUUCAUAUAUUCAUAUAAAAUAUUAUCUAACAUGUACCCAUAUAAAACUAUUGUAAUUUAAAAACUAUUUGAAAUGUUGAUUAUAUACACCAUGUGUAUUGAUAAAAUUAAAACUAUAAUCAAAAUCGUAAAUAUAUGGACAUAAUAAAAAUGUAUACUUUGCGAACAUUUAAAAGUUGUUUGACUAUCUUUUUGAUGAUAUAUAUUAUUCUUAAUAUGAAAAUUUUAUAUACAUAACUUAGUAUAUUUGGAAUUUAUAAUGCAGAUAUAUUUAAAAUUUGAAGAAAACAAUUGUUAUAUUGUGAAACGUAAUUUAUUAGCAAAUAUAUGAAUAUACCAUAAAUGAUUUGUAACAUACAAUUGUAUACAAUAUAUUCGAAACUAAUUAAUAUGAUCAAUGGUAAUUUAUGUAAUUAAUCUAGUAAACUAAUCCUUAUUAGAUAAAAGGGCUGAGAGUGAUUGUAGAACUGCCACGUGUAAAUGACACUCUUGUAAAUCACAUGAAGACAAGGUUUAUUCUUAAUAAUGUUCCUAUUUUAAUAUAUAAGGGAUAUAUCCCUAAUGCUCGUUAAAUAAUUGCGUAGAGUGAGUGAAUUAUUUACAUUCAAAGUUUAUGACGUAAGCAGUUCGAAAGAUAGACCUACAAUCAUAAGACCACCCGCAUCGGGGGUUUAUGAGAGAGUCACGGGCUCGGUAUCAUAGGCCUUAUCGAUUAAAAGAAAUAAAUAAAUGGGUUUCAACCCGUGAACCGGGUCUUCCAAGUGAGCCCGUAUGAUACGGGGUCAUGCCACGCGGCGCAGAGGGAGUGGCUACGCGAUCGCGCGGGUUGAGUGCAAAAAAAUGGGUUUCGCGUGAAAGAUCCCAUUUUCCCUUCUCUCUUCGAAAUCUAGGGUUUCUCCGUCUGUGAGGCGAUUUCGUGUCGGAGUCCAGAGCCGGAGAUUUUCUCGAUCAAUUCGCCGUCGGAGUCACUCGUAAACGCUCUCAGGUGAGUCUCAAUCACUCCGAGGACGAGAUAGCUUCGAUUUGAUCUCGAGAGGUUUCUAGGUUAAGGAAGUCGAUUUGGGGGUUUCGUCUUAGGGUGGGAAAUCGAGAAGGGGGUUUCGAUUUCUUGGUCAAAAUCGACAUACGGUUUCCUUUUAGGGUUCGUUUAUCAUGGAUUUCAUUUCGAUUUGGGGGUUUCGUGUAAGGGUUCGAAAUGUAAAAGGGGGUUUUAAUUUAGCACAUGAAUAUAACCGGACUUGGCUCUUUUAGAAUUGUUUUCAUGCAUGAUAGGAUUAGACCUUUGAACCGAAUUUUUGACAUAGCAAUAUAGAUAGCAUCAAUGGUUACUAGUCGAUUAACAGCUUCAAUAUGCUUUCUUGAAUGGAAAAACAAACCACAUUUUUGAUUUCUAUAGUUCUGUGGUCCUGUGUGGUCUAUAGUAGUUUGAUGCCAUUUUUUUUAAAUUGGAACUCGAUUAAUACAUGUAAUUGGAACUCGAUUGUUGCAGAUGGAAACUCCCCGAGAACCUCAUUUCUUCAAGCCUCUUCUUCCUGGUUUUCAAAGUGGCGUCGCAAUACCACUUGACUUCUACUCAAAACACAUACAAGGGGCUGAGAUCAAUAAACCAUGGAAGCUAAGAUCGGACGCUUCGGAUCAAAUUUGGGAGGUGAUCCGAGAAGGCAGGACACUCACCAAAGGUUGGAAAGAGUUCACCGAAGCACAUGAUCUUCGAAUCGGUGACAUUGUCAUCUUCAAACACGAAGGAGACAUGGUCUUUCAUGUGACUCCUUUUGGUCCUAGCUGUUGUGAGAUUCAGUAUACACAUCCUCACAUCGUUAAGGAAGAAGCCGACGCGGAUGAUGCUCCUACUUUCUCAUACGACUACUGCUUCUUGGCUGAGGUUACUCCUACAAAUCAAAAGGACGACAAAAUGGUGAGUAAAAUUUAGUUAUUUAUUGUGUGAUUCUAGUACUGCUUCUUGGCUGAUGUUAUGUAUGUGUUUGUAGUUUCUUCCUGUGGAAGCUAUGAGGUGUGGUGCUUUGAACCAACAAUGCAAAGAGGUCAAACUUGUCAACAAGGAGGGAAAGUCAUGGACUGCGCGCUUCGGAUUUAGCGAAUCAGACGGUGCAUAUUACAUCAGCAGAGGGUGGAGAAAGUUCUGUCGUGAUAACAGAUGCACCAACGGAGAUUUGUUUGUGUUCAACGUGGUUGGAGACGGGACGACAACUCCAUUACUGUGUGUAUGUCCGGAAAGGAAGGAGUGUACUGAACUACUGAUCAAGCACUUCAGCAGAAUCGAUGGUAAGUCUUCUCAUUUGACUUUUUUGUGUUGUAUAUAUCUUCAAUGUUACUACUUUGGUUCUGCUUUAACUUGUGUUCUCUUCUUCUACAGGUAGCAUUGCUUCUACCUCACGAAAUUAGAUGGCUCUUUUGCGGUCUUUCCUCUCUAUCAUCUUAACUUGUUUCUUUUUGUUUCAUUAGCAACUUAUCAACUUAUGUAUUUCGGUUUGUAAAACUUGAAUGGUUUUUCUAUGUGUACUUUUAUCCUAAGUUAAACAUUCUCGAACUUAAUUCCUUUGUUGAAUGCGUAGACUGAUCAUCGAACAAAAUGUUUCUAUGAAUUGAAUUUAAGUUAAGAAACAACAUAAAAUUUUAAAACAUAGCUUUUCUACAUUUGAAAACACAAACCAAAAUAUUAAAACAUAUCUCGAAAGCCAAAACUUAAACUCCAAAACUCUAACAUAGCUUUUCUACAUCUGAAAACACAAACCAAAAUAUUAAAACAUAUCUCAAAACCAAAACUUAAACUCCAAAACUAAAACAUAGGUUGAAUAAAAUGUUUUCAUAAAUUUUAUAAUAUAUUUUAAUAUUUUAUUCAUGUAUUCUGAAUAAUUUUAAAUUUUAAAACAAAUAAAAAAAUAUUAUUAUUUUAUUCCUAUGAACUCGUUCUUCGGAUUCACUAAUGCAGAAAACAACAAAUUUGGGUUCAUAACUGUUCAUGAGCCCACAAAAAAUAUUAAAAAAAUUUGGUGAACCCCAAAGUGGGGUUCACCAAUGCUCAUGCUCUAAGUACGGGUAUGAUUACCGAAAAUUCCGAGUUCGGAUUUAUAGUUUCAUAUCAAAUCAGACAUGCAUCAUUAAGUUUUUUUUUUCUUCUUCUUCUUCUUUUUAUUCAGUAAUGUAUACCAACCAUUUUAAUUUUUAUGAUGGUUUUCUAUAAAUCCUUCUGAUUUUAAUGUUUUAUGUAAUGGAAUAUAUAGAGUUUAAACUUUAAUACUUUUUUGUCAAUAACCAAAGUCAUCUUUAGAUUAUAUUUCAAAAUAAUUUCCACCUUUCGGUAAGAAAUCAAAUAUAACUAUAAUAAAUCUUUAUAAAGUAACGCUUGAUCAAUUAAGACACUAUGAAACAACACGUUUUGUUGAUUCAACCUUUAGGGGGAGAACAUACGCCAAAGAGACUUGAUUUAUUGGAAGCAUUAUCGUGUGAAAUCGACUCUGAAGUGUCGAGAUUGCUAAUGAACAGCUCGUAAGUCCCAUUCCAAAGACGAACAUCAUAGUUCCAAGAAGGUGUAUCUACAAAUAUGGUGUAUAUCAUAAGCAACUUAUCGAUUUAGUUGUUAUAUAUGCAUUAGUGCAUAUAAUGUUCUAAAGCUAAACCAUAGAUAUACAAAGUCUCAUUAGCAUGAUUAUCCCUAGCACCUCUAAUAGAGUUCUUAAUCAAAUUUUUUAGUAAUAAAUGGGUGUUAAGCACUUAAUUUAAGAAAUCUCUAAAUUGUUGUUCUCCAAUGCAAGUAUCUUAUUUAGAGGUUCUUAUAAAAUAAAAAAAAACAUUGAGACACAAAAUAUUUCAAACACACUCUACAAAAGUUCACAAGAACACAAGUAAUAGCAUCGUAGUCAUGACAAGAGACAUGAAUCAUAAAGAGUAGAAGUAUUUCAAGACACAAAACAUUAACAUAAGAAGUGGAUACCUUCUUGAUCCUGAGCUUGAACAAGACCAAUAAUAGCAAAAGCUCUUAGUACCAUCAACAAUAACGGUAGCCACACUCUCUGCACUGGAUCACAUCCCCACUGCAAAAUGACAUAUGUCUCAAUGAAUCAGAGGAAUUAAGCAAACAACAAGUGAGAUCAAAGAGGUCAAAGAGGUCAAACAACAGGUCAAAGAGCCGGAGCCGGAUCGUUAUCCUCCUCCUUCUCCAGUGGUGGUGGAUCAACAGCUUGAUCAAGAAGAGGUUCGGUUCCUCCUUUGAGGAGAGAAAGAGAGAUGAGAGAGAGAAAUACUUUGUCGACGUGUGUCCCAUAAGAAGCGACUCUUGUAAUGCUUAAUUAAGCAGCGCCUCUUGCAUUAAUAGGUAAUUUUUAUUUUCUUUUAAAUCAUAAUUAUCUUAGCAACCCUAUUAAGCGCCUGCGAUAUUAAUGCUCUUAGUGGCUUCUACCAUAAGUAUUAUCACCUUCCCACGAUUCACAGAAUAUUGCACAAACGACUCUGCGACAUACAGAUGUCCCUGCACCGAUCAAAUACCAGAGGGACAGAUAGGAGCUAAAGCUCACGAGCACCCAUUUUAGGUGCUAAAAUUUGUAAAAAAAAUUAUAGAAAAAUUGUAGGGCAUCAAAUUUUUUGGUGUAAUGAUUUAUGGGUAAAAACAAAUUUCGUCCUUUAGGAAUCCAAAUACAUAAGAUCGGGCCUGGGGAGAGCAUAAUAGUUUUAGAGUAUAAUGUGUUGCUUCUGUAAGAUGCAAAUAGAUAAGAUAAAUUUACACUGAGGAUUCAAACAUUAAGCAACUAAAUACUGAUACAACUCUCUUUAUAUUCACGCGGGUGAUUAUAUCGACAAAUAUCUUUGUACAAACCCAAACGCAAACGCAUGCACUUAUAAAUUCUACGACAAUCCGAUCUGCCGAUCCAAUCCUAAGCCCAAUAUUCUCUUUGGUUUCCAGUACUAGUUAAUUCGGUUUAAUUAAUCGAAAUAUUAUACUUCUCAACUCUUGUACUUUUCUGCCAACAGUACAUGUUAGCAUGUCACAAGAAUAAUGACACUCUCAUCUUAGAAAAAAUAAAAGAACAAGAAGAAUGACAUUCCCCUUGUCCGAACAACAACCACAUGGACUUGAUUUGCGCGAGUUUCAAUCAGUUCUCUUGCCCACAUGUGUUUAUCUGAUCUAUCCUAGCCACAUAUCCACCACUACCUUCUUAAUCUUAAGAAAUUGUUAUGACCAUUUCCAAUAAGGUGCUGUUCUUUUGCUCAUCCAGGUUAUCCAUUUGGGUGAAGAUGCAAAUCGAUGUUUGUUUUAUACAUAAUAAUAUUACAUCAAAAUGAAUCAUCCAGCUGAAUUUUAAAAACUCAUCUCAAUUUUUCACCCAAAUGAGGAUGAAUUUUGAUGGUGCAUCUGCAUGCAAGUGCAUCUAAUUAAGUUUAAAAUGAUAAAUGGCAAAAUAACUUCUUAAAAUCAAAAUAUUAUUUUCGAACCAAAAAUCCUAUAUUUUCCCUUAUACAUUUUUCCGUCAAAACCGAAAAAUGCAUUUUCUCGCCAAAACUGAAACACACUUUUCGCCAAAACCACAAAAAUACGUUUUUCCCCAAAAAGCGUAAAAAUGCACAUUUCCAUAAAACAUACAUUUCGGCCAAACUAGUAACCCACACUUUUCGGCCAAAACGAUAAAAAUACACUUUCCCGCCAAAAUCUUAAACCGCACUAAAACCGAAAAUCAUACUUUCCCGCCAACACAGUAAAAACACACUUUGUCGCCAAAAAUUGCAAAAUACAUUUUUCCACCAAAACUGGAAAACACACAUUUUCUCGCAAAAACCGAAAAAAUGCAUUUUACAGUCAAAACCGAAAACGCAUUUUCCAUCAAAAACGUAAAAACAUAUUUUUCCGUAAAAUCUAGGGGUGGGCAAAAAACCCAAACCGAACCGAACCAAACCAACCAAACCGAAGUUAAACCGAACCAAACCAAACCGUGCUCUUUAUGUAACCCAAUUGGUUCAUGUUUUACUCAACCCGAACGGUUUGGUUUGGUUUGGGUUUAAACCGAACCAAACCGAACCAAACCGAUAAUCUAAUAUAUAUAUAGUAAAAAUAUAUAUGAUAUAUAUAUAUAUGUAUUAACAUAUUGCAAAUUUUAGUUAAAGUUUCGUUUUUCAUUUUUUCAUAAUUUCCAUAUCUUAAAAAAAAAAUAUAAAUACGAUUCAAAUAAUACUAUUAUAUAUAAAAUCAUGUAGCAUAAGUUUUUAUAUUCUCACUCUAUCGUUUAUGAGUUGAUUAUUUUUUAAUAAAAGUAUAAAACUGAUGCCUUCAUAUUUUAUAACUAACCCGAACUACACCGAACCAAACUAGACCAUUAUAAUGUAAACCGAACUAAAUCUAAACCAAACCAAACUGAACCGAACCGAAUUAAACCCAAACCGAACCCAAACCAAAGCUACUUUGGUUUUAAUUGGUUUGAGUUUUAUAAAACCCAAAUUACCCAAACCAAACCGAACCCAAACCGAACCCGAAACUAAACCGAAAUGCCCACCCCUAGUAAAAUCUGCAAAACACAUUUUUCCGUCAAAACCAGAAAAACGGAUUUUUUCGCCAAAACCGGACAUACACAUUUUCUCACAAAAACCGGACAAACGUAUUUUCCCGCUAAAAACGCAUGUUCCUGCCAAAAUCGAGAAAAUGCAUUUCCCGCUAAAAACCAAAACCGUAUGUUCCCACCAAAACUGCAAAACGCAAU